UUUUUUUAAUCAAGGUCUGUUACGCAUAGCUAAUCCCUAGAUUUACAUGUCCUUUGCCAUUAGAUGAAUAUGGUAGGUGAACUGGAGCCCUUCUGGGCGCUCCUCCCGCUGCCCCUGCAGAGAGAGAUCGUGGAAUGGACGCUUCCCAAAAGAAAUGCAUUCAUGGUUGAGGCCUUGAGGAUGAUUACCAUGGGUGAGGCCUUGAGGAUGAUUACAUAGCUUAGAAACAGUCGAGUGGACACCCCAAUCCUACAUCUUGAUUGGCAUCCUUGAUACACGAGCGUGUACACCUUCUUCACCCCGCCGCACUGCUACGACUCCUUCCCCGCUGAAGCCCGACUCCUAUUGGCAUUCAUGGUUAGGAACGGAACUAUGGGGGUAGUAUUUCACAUGACACAAUUGGCGGGUUUUGUCGCCAAAUGGGAGGUUAAUGCUGAGACUGUCACCCGUUUAGGAAGCUGGCUUAGUAGUUUCCUACCAUAAGCGAGUGGAAUACAUUCCUUCAACAAGAAUGGCUAGGAGAAUACAUGUUGUUCACCUUCCACAUAGAACAAGCUACCGAUUACUGGGAUGAUGAGCUAGUGGUAAUCGAAAGAAGUCAAGUUGUCUUUGAAGGCUCUUGGCCGACCAACCCAACUAUUCAGCCCGAGGACGACCCUGUUCGUUGAACGAAGAUGGCGACUACUAAUGGUGUUGAACAAUAUAGAGCAUGACCCAAUCUUGACCGUCCUACAGUCAGCCGACAACUACUACUGUGAUGGCAUAAUCAAGGAAAGCACUGGGAUCCUCUCAGAGGUACAAAUCGCGAACACCUUCUACCUUGAGGCAGAGUAUAACCAAGCAGUCUUCAGGGAUGUCAACUUUAGGAGAAGUUUUGGGAUCCCAUUGUACGAAGCCGGUUCGUUUAUCAGAAAUGGGGAGGGCAGUGGCUAAAGAUCGGAAGUAGCAUAGUCAAAGUUCUUCAUAAUUUUGUAUGUAUCGCGGAAGAACCUUGGUAGGACCUAGACGGGUAGUGCAGAUAUAGGAUGGUAAUCGGAAGUAAAUAAGACGGUAUGUGGCGCCUCGCUUGUCUUGAGGUUUUAGCUGAAUACCACAAUUUUGUAAUAGUAACAGGAUAAACCACGGCGCACACGUACGGUGACAGGCGUAAAACUCUUGGCAUCACCUGCAAAUUUUGGGAUGGAUGUGAAAAAUCAUAAUAUUAAUGGAUUAAAUAGCCUUCUAGUUUCUACUAAUGGCUCGACGCACGAUUCUUGGAUUUGAUUACGCGCAACAAACCUAUGCAUUCGUCUUUGUUUUUUUAGAAAAUUAUUUUAUUUUCUGACGUUCAGUCAAUGUCUUAGGUAUCAUCAUCACAACGCACCUGUUUUAUAACAUAGUUUCAUCUUGUAAAGUAUGGAAAGCUUCAUGGAUACUGUUGAUGAGGAAGAGUAUGUUAUGUGGUCGGCGGAACGACAACGUGAAGCUUACGGCGAUGAGCCACCGUUCCGCACCCUCGCCCCAAACUUGCCAAGCUGCCCAAUUCGGGUACCGACAUACGAAACCGAUGUGUUGAGGGACACCUGGUCAAUGCUCACCGAUGAAGGAAAAAGGUUGUUUAGCAAGAAAUACGGAUGUCUGUUCGAUCUGAUCAACACCCAAUCCCCGGGAGUUAUGAUGCAAUAACUCCUCAAGUAUUGGGAUCCUACGUCCCCGGGAGUUUCACUACUUCACAAUCAAUGACAUAUACAUUUCGCCACUAGCCGAGGAGUAUGGAUCAAUCCUACGUCUCGGGGACCUCCCACUUGCCAAGGUGUACACAACCCAAUCUAGUCCCAAGGUCGAAAAUCCACUGUCUCGCAUUCUAGGGGUAGCGAAGGAUAAGCUGAAAGGCCAAAUCCAGAUUGGGACAACUGGUGAGUACUUACCCAUUAGGUAUUUGCUAGGAUACAUCCGCAAUAGGAGUACGACAUGUCAUGGGCGAGUCAGUGCUUUGGCACUGAUCGUAUAUGGAGUAGUACUAUAUUCCAGCCUAAUACACUUUAUUAGUGAAAAUGCUAUCAGAAUUUUUGUGGCAAACUACCACAAGGCGAACCCCACAUAUGCAAUUAUGGCGGAAACCUUCGUGGCUCUUCACAGCUGCUACCAGCUAGCCGAGGAGACUCUAUAUGGCAGCGCUUCCUUGUUAUUUCGUGGAUCUUUAGACAUUUGAAGCUUUCGCCAGAGUUAGGAAUACCUAAUGUCCGGUACAGCAAAGCUUUCCAUGGAUCAACCAGCAUGAUUACCGAAUUUAUCCAAGCCGGAGGAGGGUACGAGAAUGCUACACCAAGCCAAUGGGAAAGGUAUUUUUCCGCCUUUCGAAGAACGACUAGUUGGCACCCUCAAUGCAUCACAAUUAUGCCUCGUGUCGGAUGUUGUGAUGCCCCCACAAGUUUAAGAUGCCAGACUUUGAGAAGUAUGACGGCACCACCUAUCCGAGAAGUCAUCUGGUAAUAUACUGGAGCAAAAUGGCAUGCCAUACAUUUGAUGAUAAGCUGAUGAUGCAUUGCUUCCAGAAUAGCUUGGGAGGCUCAGCUUUGAGGUGGUACAUGCAAGUUGAAAGAAUGAGAGUCAGAAGGUGGCAAGAUCUUGUUGAUGCUUUCAUGAGACAUUAUAAGCAUAAUCAGGAUCUAGACCUAGAUAGGGAGGACUUGCGGAAUAUGGAGAAAAAAGAGAACAAAUCAUUCCACAAAUAUGCCCAUAGGUGGCGUGAAAAGACCGCUGAAGUACAGCCGCCUAUGUCAGAGAAGGAGCUAGUCUCAAUAUUCUUUGAAACUCUUAAACCCCCCUUCUGCAAUAACAUGCUAGGGCUAAUCACAACGAACUUCUCCGACAUGUUGCUAAUCAGAGAAAUAAUUGACAAGGGAAUCAAGCAUAGCAGAGUGGAUGGUCAUGAUCCACUUCAAAAGCAUAAUACCACCCAUAAAAGGGAAGAAGUCAAUGCCACACGAGGUCAAGCUCCAAGGACUAGAGGAUGGGUUCGACCACCUACAGGUAAUCACACAUCGCCAUAUGUAGCUGUGGCCCUGCCAGUGGCCCAUAAUCAACCGUUCGCACCUCAGCAGAGGACAUUGCCCAAUACUGCUAUUCAACCAGGAAGAUAUCAGGGGAAUCAACCCAGGGCGUACCAUGGAGGUCAGCAGGUUGAAACUUAUGGGCAGUGCAGUCCUACCAAUUACAAGACGCCAGAGCAGCUCGACCCCAUACAAAUCUCGUAUACCGAGCUCUUCCCUUAGUUACUGAAAAGCAAGCAAAUUGUUCCAGUCCCGCUCAAACCGUUGCAACCAACCAUACCCCAGCUGGUACGACCCAGAUGUCCGGUGCGAGUAUCAUGCUGGGGCACCCGGUCAUGUAAUCGAAAACUGCAGGAGCUUUAAAUAUAAAGUACAAGAGCUAGUGAGGGCAGGGUAGUUGAAAUUCGACGGCCAGCCCAGCCGCCCCGAUGUGUAUAAGAAUCCGCUCCCUAACAAAUGAAGGGCAUAAUGUUGCUAGGAUCGGAAAAGAAGAAUCUUAUCAAGAGAAGUUGAGUGUUGCUAAAAUUAAAACACCAUUGAAGUAUGUAUACAAGCUGCUCAUAGACGGUGGUUACCUAAGGACCGCCGAGGGGUGAAAUAUUUCUGCAGUGCUAGGGGACAAAUGUCUAUACCACGGCGGAAACUCCGACGAUACCAUGGAUGAUUGUGAGACUUUCAAAGAGAAAUUACAAGCGCUCAUGGAUUCCAAACUGGUUAUUUUCUACUCAGGGGUCAAAGGAGCAGAUGACAUUUGCAUGGCGUAACCAGAAAGCCUAGAGUUUGACUUCCCUAAACUUGUGAUUCACUAUCAGGCCUCCGCCAAACCACCACCACCAUCUUUAGAAGUGAAACCAUUGGUUAUAAGGGUCCCUAGACCUUUCGAGUAUAAAAGCUCCAAGGCCGUCUCGUGGGGGUAUGCGUGUCAAGCUGAAAAGGAGGGCGAUGUUGACUCUCCGGCUAUAACCAACAUAACUGGUUUAAGUCAAAUCACAAGGAGCGGAAGACAAUAUGGUGUGCCUGAUGACCUAGACAAGACUGAAGGGGUUAGAAUGGCAGAAAUAAGGCAAGGGAAAAGAGCGUAUUCUGAAGUCGUUGGACCAGAUAGUGUUCCUCCUCGGGAUGAAUGCGAGGGGAGGAAAGAAGAUGAGGAUUAUGAAUCAAAAGUUAGUGAUGAAGAUGCAUGUGAGUUCUUGAAGCUUGUAAGGCAUAGCGAAUUCAAAGUAGUAGAGCAGCUUAACCGCACCCCGGCGAGGAUUUCACUCCUGUCCCUGAUGUUAACCUCUGAGCCCCAUCGACGAGCCCUCAUAAGAGUGCUGAACCAAGCGCACGUCUGCCAUGAUGUUUCAGUAGAGCGCUUCGAUGGGAUAGUCGGAGCGGUUUUAGCAAACGGGAAAAUCACUUUCGAUGAAGACGAGAUACCUUCUGAAGGAAUGGGCACAUCUCUGUAAAGUGUAAGGAUUUCAUGAUAGCCCAAAGCCUGGUUGACAACGGUUCAUGGAAAAGAAGAAUCUUAUCAAGAGAAGUUGAGUGUUGCUAAAAUUAAAACACCAUUGAAGUAUGUAUACAAGCUGCUCAUAGACGGUGGUUACCUAAGGACCGCCGAGGGGUGAAAUAUUUCUGCAGUGCUAGGGGACAAAUGUCUAUACCACGGCGGAAACUCCGACGAUACCAUGGAUGAUUGUGAGACUUUCAAAGAGAAAUUACAAGCGCUCAUGGAUUCCAAACUGGUUAUUUUCUACUCAGGGGUCAAAGGAGCAGAUGACAUUUGCAUGGCGUAACCAGAAAGCCUAGAGUUUGACUUCCCUAAACUUGUGAUUCGCUAUCAGGCCCCCGCUAAACUGCCACCACCGUCUUUAGGAGUGAAACCAUUGGUUAUAAGGGUCCCUAGACCUUUCGAGUAUAAAAGCUCCAAGGCCGUCUCGUGGGGGUAUGCGUGUCAAGCUGAAAAGGAGGGCGAUGUUGACUCUCCGGCUAUAACCAACAUAACUGGUUUAAGUCAAAUCACAAGGAGCGGAAGACAAUAUGGUGUGCCUGAUGACCUAGACAAGACUGAAGGGGUUAGAAUGGCAGAAAUAAGGCAAGGGAAAAGAGCGUAUUCUGAAGUCGUUGGACCAGAUAGUGUUCCUCCUCGGGAUGAAUGCGAGGGGAGGAAAGAAGAUGAGGAUUAUGAAUCAAAAGUUAGUGAUGAAGAUGCAUGCGAGUUCUUGAAGCUUGUAAGGCAUAGCGAAUUCAAAGUAGUAGAGCAGCUUAACCGUGGAGCAAGGAUUUCACUCAUGUCCCUGAUGUUAACCUCUGAACCCCAUCGAUGAGCCCUCAUAAAAGUGUUGAACCAAGCGCACGUCUGCCAGGAUGUCUCGGUAGAGCAAUUUGAUGGGAUAGUCAGAGCGGUUUUGGAAAACGGGAAAAUCACUUUCGACGAAGACGAGAUACCUUCCGUAGGAAUGGGUCACACUAAGGCACUACACAUCUCUGUAAAGUGUAAGGAUUUCAUGAUAGCCUGAUGCCUGGUUGACAAUGGUUCAUCACUGAAUGUUAUGCGUAAAUCCACCUUAAACAAGCUAUAAAUUGAUGGCUCAUACCUCAACCCAAGUUUCACAGUUGUUAGGGCUUUUGAUGGCACGAAGCAUAAAGUCAUAUGGAAAAUCUCGCUACCCGUUCAGGUGGGACCUAAGGUCUUCGAAGUGGAUUUCCACAUAAUGGGAAUAAAUCUGACAGACAGCCUGUUGCUGGAGUGCCCAUGGCUCCACACAGCGGGAGUAGUGACAUCAUCCUUACACCAGAAACUGAAGUUUGCAAUUGAUGGGAAGCUCAUUCAAGUGUUCGGAGAGGAGGAUGCACUGGUAACUAGAGCUUCGAACGCACCCUACAUUGAGACCACGGAGGAAGCCUUGGAAAGAGCAUUUCGGACCUUUGAAAUAGAGGACAUCGCAUAUGUAGGGCGUAGUGCAGCUUACAAAGCCCACAUCUCCCAAGCGACUCUAACAUCAGCAAAAUGCAUGUUUAAGGACCUCCACUACUCAUAAUGGCAGGAGGUGCUGAAAGAACCCAUCCAGGUCAAGGAAAACAAUAACCAUGCGAGAUUGGGAUACAUUCCGAAGAGUGAUGAUAUGAGGAGGAUCCAAGGGGAACAGAAAAGGAGGAGAAUUACCAAGUUAAGUGGGAGAGAAGAUGAUGAAGGAUUUACCUUCAUACCUCACAUCACAAGCACAUUCAGAAGCAUUGGAAGGAUAAAUGUGAGGAAAAACUACACUGAUCUGAGCACCAAAGGGUUACUGUCAGAUUUUGCAGACCUCUCCAUCAGCAUGCUAGGUACAGGAAUUACGAUCGGAAUAGAAUGGGUGCGCCAGCUCCAUCCGGAGGAAGAACUGAGCAGCUAGGUGUCUUUGGAGUUACCUUCAUCAUCACAGAUAUAAUAACUCUAAAAAAUUAGUGAUUCAGGAUGCUUGUAUCGUAUUUUCCCGAGUUUAAUAAAGCAUGUUUUUCAUAAGUAUCAAUCCGUGCAUCGUGCAUAUUAUUCACUUCCAUUUUUCUUAUUUUUCCUUUUCUAUUUCCCCCCGCGUGACAGGUUUACAGAUGUGUUUGAAAAUAAUGAAGGGUUUCAAAACAUUAAAGUGGACUUUGACCACCCAGUUUAUGAGAUGGAAAUCGAGGAAGGAAGUGAUGGUUCUGACCUAGAGACAGAUUGGAUGGCAGAACAAGAAGAGCGAUCUCUGGAACCAUUCUACGAGUCAGUAGAGACAGUGAGUUUGGGAACAGAGGAGAAUCGACGAGAGUUCAAGGUACGAGAUAGUUUAGACCGAGCUGAAAAGGAUAGGCUCGUUGAACUACUCCAGAACUUUCAAGAUGUUUUCGCAUGGUCUUAUCAGGAUAUGCCAGGCCUCGAUGAAAAAAUAAUAACACAUCGCUUGCCAAUAAGGGAAGAGUGCAAGCCAGUAAAGCCAAAGUUACGACGGAUUAAAUCGGAAUUGAUACUCAAAAUUAAGGAAGAAGUGCAAAAGCAAUACGAAGCCGAGUUCUUUCAAGUAGCACGAUACACCGAUUGGGUCUCUAAUAUAGUCCCUAUGCCUAAGAAGAAUGGGAAAGUGAGAAUGUGUGUAGACUAUAGAGAUUUAAAUAGGGCAAGACCGAAGGACAACUUUCCAUUGCCUCAUAUAGAUGUUCUUGUUGAUAAUACCGCCAAUCACCAUAUGUUCUCUUUCAUGGACGGUUUCUCAGGAUACAACCAAAUCAGGAUGUUUCCGGAGGAUCGUGAAAAAACCACCUUCAUAACUCUGUAGGGAACCUUUUGCUACAAAGUUAUGUCUUUUGGGCUGAAGAACAUUGGGGCAACCUACCAGCGGGCCAUGGUCACACUAUUCCAUGACAUGAUACAUAAAGAAAUAGAGGUAUAUGUGGAUGACAUUAUAGCAAAGUCAAAAAAUAAAGACGACCAUGUAACCGUGCUACGAAAAUUGUUUGAAUGACUCAGGAAGUACCAGCUUGUAUCCAGAAAAGUGUACGUUCGGAGUUACCUCAGGAAAGUUGCUCGGUUCCGUGGUUAGCCAAAAGGGGAUUGAAGUGGACCCUGGCAAAGUGAAGGCAAUAGUUGACAUGCCUCCUCCCCAAAAGCAAAAAGACGUGCGGGGGUUCUUGGGACGCUUGAAUUACAUUAGUCGGUUCAUAUCACAUUUGACUUCGACCUGUGAAUCCAUUUUCAAGCUUCUAAAAAAGAACCAGCAUGUCGAAUGGGAUGAAGGUUGUGAUCGAGCCUUUUAGAAAGUAAAAGGGUGUUUAUUAAACCCUCCAGUUCUGGUGCCGCCAACUUCGGCAAGGCCGCUAAUAUUGUACUUGACAGUAUUUGAAAAUUUGGUAGGCGCAAUGUUGGCUCAACACAAUGAAUCAGGAAGGAAAGAGUACGCCAUAUACUACCCCAGCAAGAAGUUCACUGAUUAUGAAUCACGAUAUACAUCGCUUGAGAAAACUUGCGGAGCGCUUGCAUGGGCAGCCAAGAGGCUGAGACAGUACAUGUUAUAUCACACGACACUCCUUAUAUCCAAAAUGGAAAUGGACCCUAUCAAGUAUGUCUUCGAAAAGUCGGCCCUCUCCGGACGGAUAGCCCGAUGGCAAGUGCUGCUAGCAGAGUACGACAUCGUUUAUACCCCGAGGAAGACCUCGGACCCGGGUACGAUGUUGAUGGACUUUCCGGAUGAAAGUAUAAUGAACACCAAUAAAUCGGAACAUGGGUGAUGAAGUUCGACGGGGCGUCAAACUCAUUGGGACAUGGCGUCGAGGUCGUGUUCGUCUCUCCAAAAGGAAAGGUUUGUCCUAUCACUGCCAAAAUUGGCUUUGACUGCACCAAUAACAUAGCAGAGUACGAAGCAUGCGCUUUCGAAAUCCGAGCUGCACUUGAAAUGGGCAUUAAGAAUUUGAAGGUGUAUGGUGAUUCAGCGCUAGUAAUCUACCAGUUGAAGGAAGAGUGGGAAACUAGGGAUCAUAAGCUCGUCCCAUACCAAAAAUACAUACGGGAGAUGGUGGCGAAGUUUGUGUCGAUACAAUUUAAGCACAUCUCACAAGUUUGAGCACAUCUCACGAGUCGACAAUCAAAUAGUAGAUGCUCUCGCCACAUUGUCCUCGAUGUACGAACUAGAUGAAACCGAGGUUAAUCCACGAAUCGAAAUCAAAAAGCGAAAUGCACCUGCCUACCUAGCUAGUGUUGAAGAGGAGCGUGAUGGAAAUCCCUGGUACCAUAACAUAAGGACCUACCUACAGAAAAGGGAAUACCCAACUAGGGCAUCCGAGAAUGAUAAACAGACCUUACGGAGGUUAGCGAUGGGUUACUAUGAUGAUGGAACUACCCUCUACAAGGUAAGCCAUGACUCUGUGCUCCUGAGUUGUGUGACUGCCCCUGAAUCUCAAAGAAUCAUAUAAGAAGUCCAUGAGGGAGUCUACAGCACGCAUGUCGGUGGUCACGCGUUAGCUAAGAAGAUAAUAAGGAUGGGUUACUAUUGGACGAAGAUGGACUCUGACUGUGUAAAUUAUGUGAGAAAAUGCCAUAAGUGCCAGGUUUAUGCCAAUGAAAAGCAUUUGCCUCCAUCAUCGUUGCACAUUAUGGCAUCGCCUUGGCCUUUUGCAGCAUGGGGGAUCGACGUUAUAGGCAUGAUUGAACCAAAAGCAUCGAAUGGGCACCGUUUCAUCCUAGUAGCCAUCGACUACUUCAAAAAAUGGAUUGAGGCUGCAUCAUACCCAAACAUCACCAAAAGCGUCGUCACAAAGUUCAUAAAAAAGGAAAUCAUUUGCCGGUAUUGGCUCCCGGAAAGAAUAAUUACCGAGAAUGCAAAAAAUCUCAACAACAAGAUGAUGGAUGAGCUUUGCAACCAGUUUAAGAUCAAACACCACAACUCGGUAUCAUACCGACCAAAGAUGAAUGGAGCGGUCGAGGCGGCGAACAAAAAUCUCAAGAAAAUCAUAAAGAAAAUGGUCGUUACCUACCGCGAUUGGCACAAAAUGCUGUCGUUUGCCCUGCACAGUUACCGAACGUUAGUAAGAACCUCGACAGGAUCGACUCCUUAGCAAUUGGUCUAUGGGAUGGAGGCGGUGCUUCCCAUAGAGGUAGAAAUACCUUCAUUAAGGGUUAUCAUGGAAGCAAAGUUUGAAGAAGCUGAGUGGAUAAAAGCGUGGUAUGAUCAUUUAAAUUUAAUUGAUGAGAAAAGGUUGACAACCAUCCACCACGGGCAUCUGUAUUAGCACAGAUUGGUUAGAGCUUUUAACAAAAAAGUGAAACCACGGGUAUUCCGCGAAGGGGAGAAAGUGAAACCACGGGUAUUCCGCGAGGGAGAGUUGGUAACAAAGAACAUUUCCAUUCGACAAGGGGACCCAAGAGGAAAGUGGACGCCGAACUAUGAAGGGCCCUAUGUAGUGAAGAGGGCUUUCUCAGGAGGGGCUUUGAUAUUAACGAACAUGGAUGGAGACGAGCUCCCUUACCCAGUUAACUCUGAUUCAGUGAACAAGUACUAUGCUUAGAGUUCACGAUGGAGAUGUACAAGAUCGUUUUUCCAUCAAUAAUGUGAAGGUUUAAGUCAACUUUACAUUUUGGAUACUUCAUGAAUUGUCAAACACUAUUCUCCUAAACGUUGUUCACGCGCCACCAAAUAGAAUGGACCCUCACGACACUCCAAAUGAACUUGGUUCAAAUGCGUUCAUGCUAACACUUUCACUCUAAUUAAUCAUUAGGAGGUCUUUCUAAACGAAAGUAUUAGUAAGGUAGAAAAAACAAAGGAGAAAAAUGCUAGUAAUAAUAAUAAAAAUCAUUGAAGGAACGAAAUAGUUAAAGAGAGGCUAUAGAAAAGAAGCCUAAACGGUAGGUUUGCUCUACUUAUUCCUAACCCCGGAAAGCAAUUAACGAGGGUCGUUGUGGUUUUACAAUUAUAACCAAAAGUAGAGACAAAGUAGGAAGGAGAUCCUCAAGAUAACGGGGUAAGAGCAUAAUAUGAAGACGUCAGGAGGAAAAACAAAGGAAAAGGAGUGCGUACGAUGACGUUACCCAGCUAUCAGCGGGGUUGCCACCAUUGCGCUAGCAUGUGACACAAACCAAGCGGCAAGUCGGCUCUCGAAAUUAGGAAUCAUAGACGCUCGAGAUAGAUCGACAAUGUCCCUACCUAUAUUGGGAGGGGGGGCGCACGUCCCAAGCAAAAAGGAGCAACGGUUGAAACUUGCGAAAUCAUUAUAUCAAACUCGGAUCGUCAAGUAGACAUUCACCUCAGAAAAAUCCUACCGUAAUGUUUACCAUCAUGAAAGUAGUGUCUUGUUGCAACUAGUGGUUCUAGGAGGACCUGGGAACAAGGUACAGUUUCUAGCACUUGACAAUGUGUUUUCUACAAAACAAUCAAUUCCCUGGGAAAAAGUCAAACAUCACAUGCAUAUUUUUCAUAAAAAAGGGAGCCUUACUCAAGUUCUUGCAAAAACCAUUCAUCAUCAACACAUUUGCACCAUGGAACGGGAAAUAAGUCAAGCUGAAUCCCUAGUACGUUCACCCUAGCAUCCAGGGUCAAGCGAAUCGCACCAUAGAAUGAGAAAUAAAUCAAGCUGAAUCCCUAGUACAUCAACCCUUAACAUCCUGGGGCAAGCGGAUCGCAUCACGGAACGAGAAAUAAGUCAAGUAGAAUCCCUAGUACGUUCACCCUAGCAUCCAGGGUCAAGCGGAUCGCACCUUGGAACGGGAGAUAAGUCAAGCUGAGUCCCUAAUACAUUCACCCUAGCAUCAUGGGUUAAAUGGAUUGCACCUUGGAACGGGAGAUAAGUCAAGCUGGGUCCCUAGUACAAUCACCACUAGUGUCGUUGGACGGACCAAUCGCACGCGCGUCAAUAGAUCUUAUCUAUGCCAUCCCGUUAUUACUACUCCAUGUAAAAAUAAUAGUAAUAAACAAAAUAUAAAAUAAACCAACGUGAGGAUAGACUCAGUGAGCCUUUCGAAAUUUGGUUCUUAUCUUUGUGCUACUUUUUGUUAUAAACAAAAGUAACACAAAGAGGGGCAACUGUAGUAACCAAAUUUGUCUGGGCUUUCGAACUUGUAGUUCCGUAAUUUUUUUCUACGCCAAAAUGUCAAUGCUAAUAUAUUCGAUUCAAAGAUAAUCAUUCAAACGUUCCUAUUCGAAAGCAUUCACAUAACAUUCACACAUACAUAUUGUUGUACUUAUAGUCCCUUAGAACUACCAUGGAUUUCAAUGUUCAUUGUGAUUGAUCGAGUACACGAUUCGUGUUAGUGAAUAAAGCUAACAAACCCUUAAAAUAAGCUUUAAAAAUCACCCAAAAAUGCUGGAAAUCAUGAUAAACAGAAAAACCUAUAAUUAUAUUUCACGAGGGAUCCGAUAAGUCACGAAAUUCGCAGUAUAAUCGAGUUAAAGCACAAUUUAUUCGACUAAACAGAUUGCUGAAUUUUUUUAACAUCAGUAAGAAAUAAGGUUUUUUAAAAAAAUAAAACUUAAUUAAAAUAUCUAGACUACUAUAAUCCCAAUAAUCAAAUUAAAUAAUUCCUUAGACAACUAAUCAACAAACAGACCUAAAAAAAAGGCUAGAUUCUUUUUCUCCACACUGCUUUUUCUCUAUCUCUGUUUCUCCACCGCUACCGUCGAUUUUCGCCCCUUACCAAGAAAUAAAAAACAGAGCAAAUUCGAUCGACAAAGUAAAAGGAGUUUUCAACCUAGGUUUACAGAUCGGGACUUGCAUGUCAACUGAGGGCCCGCCGGAACCUCCGACAACGACAUGCAAGCCCGGAUCUGAGUUAAACAAGAGUAAAAUAACAAAAAAGGAUUUCAGCACUUUUUUACCUUUCUUUCUUGUUGUUGAUGACUGAGGACAAAGAGGAAGAGGAGAAAGAGAGGAAGAGAAGAAAAAAAAAGGGGGAGAGGAAGGGCCGCGGCGGCGGCAGCCCCGCGGCGACGGCCCAACGGCGGCGGUACUUGUGGUGGAAGCGGCGGCCAAGAGGAAGAAGAAGAGAAUAGAGGAGGAGAGUUAGAGAGAAGGGAGAGGUUUUAGAGAGAAGUCAGAGAGAAUUGAGAGGAGAGAUAGUGGGAGGCCAUAUCGAAAAUUGGCCUUUUAUACGUCCUAGUAUGGUUGUGGUGAAAUGAAUGAAUUGCCCUUGCCUUCCUUCUUCAGCACUCAAAGCUCCAGGGGCAAUUUUUUGUGUAACCGGUUCGACCAACCGAUCGUGUGGUCUGCCUCCCUCAACCAACAGAUCUGCCCCCUUUAAUUGGUUGGGCCCAGCUUGUGGUUGGACCCAAUUAAUUAUGAAAGGCCAAGUCCUUUUGGCCAUUUAUGUUAUAUUUGUGUCCAUUAAAGUCGUAUUAAGAGCAAAAUAAAAUCGGAAUAAGAGUAGAAGAACGAUUUAAUAGACGUCCUAAGUUUUUUUGUCUUAUUCGAUGUUUUUUUAAGUUAAUGUUUAAACCUAAAAAAAAACUCGAAACUUUACAUUUAUUCAAAUCAAUGUAGUAUUUAAUUAACAUUAAUAUAACGACAAUAAUACUAACAAACCGCCAAAAAUAUUUGUGGCUUAUGAUAAAAAUGUUUUGUUUCCCAUACCGCAAUGUGUUUAUAAUUAUGUCAAAUCAAAUCAGUAUGAAUUGUUUAAAUUGUCAUUUGGCAAGUAAUGUGAAAAUUCUUUAAGAAUAAUUCUUUGAAAAUUCUAUCGCAACGUUUUACGAGUUUUGUACUAAUGAUAAGCAUUUCAAAGUUUGCAAAAUUAUUAAUUACUUAAAAGUAUCUAAAUUACAAGUCGUUGCUAAUUUUUAUUACUCCUUUAAACUUUAUAAAUAAUAGUGGCCUAACAUCGAACCAAGAGGUUCGUAAGUAAGUAUUUUACAAUGUGUAUUGCCCCUCGGGAUGUCCACACUUUCAGUUUCGGAAUACCGAAACACGAGGGUUUUCGUUCUAAAAAUUUGUCACCAAAAUAAUCAAGUAAAUAUCUUUCAAAUAAAAAAUGAACAUGAUAAUGUAAUUUUAUAAUAGUAAAGAUUAUGCAAAAUCCUCUGAUCAACUUGUCACCAGGCGAACUACGUGGAUUUUAUCCCAAAGAAUUGGGUAUGUAUGCAGUCGUAAGACUCGAGUCUAAAUAAUUAAAUAAAAAUUACUUAACUAAAAGAAGUAUUCAUGAACAUAAAAUGAAAUUUCCACAAUAGUGGGAGUUCGUAAAUCCAAAUAAUUAAAUACAAAUUACUUAACUAAAAAUAUUCAUGAACAUAAACGAAAUUUCCACAAUAGUGGGAAUUCAUAAAUCCAAAUAAUUAAAUACAAAUUACUUAACUAAAAAUAUUCAUGAACAUAAACGAAAUUUCCACAAUAGUGGGAAUUCAUAAAUCCAAAUAAUUAAAUAAAAAUUACUUCCCCCCUCGUAACCACCUGCCGAACCAAAGAUCCUCGUUUCGCAGACCAGAUCAUAACUCGCGUCCAAAAGGACCUGGGUUAUGUCGAAAGCGUCCAAUCCGCUUCUAAAAGAUUGGUGGGGACUCCAAAAUCAAUUUCGAGCCAUCGGCGCGGACGGGAACGUUUACGACAGAUGGCGACUCCGUUGGGGACUAGGAACUCUCCAAAAGAGGCUAACUACAAAAAUAAAUUCUCGAUAUGUUUGGGUGUUUAAUUUCUUCAAUGUGGCUUUACUUUUCGUAUAUGCGCUAUUUAAUUUCCAGUGUUCAUGCAUAUGCAUGCUCUAUACCCGAGCUUCACCCUUAGGUAGAAUUUUGAGUGAAGUAGCGUUUGCCUUUACAAUAGUAAGGGUGCAUGAACCCUCGUCCCAAUAUUGAGUCAUACCAUGAUUAGCUACAUUCGCCUCAUAUAGUACACCUAGAAGCCUCCCUUAGUCUGCUUAGGAUAGAGCCGCACAAAACCCGUUCGACAGCUCGCAACCUAGAAAAGCCCGGAGAUAGGGAUUUAUAUGAUUUAAUGUAUUAUUAUUACUCAACGUGUGUAGUUCCUUUUAAUUCUCUUUUGUGAUCCUUAUUAAAUAUGAGCAUGCAUUAUGUCAACAUUUUUUUUAAUCAAGGACUGUUGCGCAUAGCUAAUCCCUAUAUUUACAUGUCCUUUGCCAUUAGAUGAAUAUGGUUGGUAAACUCGAGCCCUUCUGGGCGCUCCUCCCGCUGCCCCUGCAGAGAGAGAUCGUGGAAUGGACGCUUCCCAAAAGAAAUGCAUUCAUGGUUGAGGCCUUGAGGAUGAUUACACAGCUUAGAAACGGGCGAGUGGAUGAUUACACAGCUUAGAAACGGACGAGUGGACACCCCAAUCCGACAUCUUGAUUGGCAUCCGUGUUACAUGGGCAUGAACAUCUUCUUCAUCCCGCCACACUUCAUUUAACCUCAAUUCAUUUGUAACAAAUGUAACAACAUUUGUUUACAAAAUUGCACAUAAAAUAGUUGACCGUUGUCGAUCACAUAGACUCGCAUUUUAUAAGUCGUGAAAACUUGAUUAUGGUCUAUUGGAGGCAUUUAUAUAGAGAAGUAACAGUCAGACACUAAUAUCUUUCACUUGUUGUUCGGAGAUGAAACUAACACCUUUUACUAGUAGUAUGUUUCUUUGGAUUAUUUUGUGUUUGAUGUUAUGUUUGGACGAGCAUUUUCAAACAUUCAUGUUCAAGUUAGUUGUAUGAAGAUUUUUCAACCAUUUGUGUUUAGGUUUUUGUUAGUCAAAUAUUUACGUUCUAAUUUCACUUCUCAUGUGAUUGAAGUUAUUCCUAACCAUUUAAUACAUAAGGAAUGACAAAGCCAUGACGCGGUUUGUCGCCCUCCUCUCUUUUAUUCGGGAUUGGUCGAGCUACCUAAAAGGUCCCACCGUUAAGGUAUAAGCGCCUCAUACUAAUCAUACACAUACUCAUUUAUGAAGAUGAAAUAUCUGAAGUAGAAGUUUAUUAGUUACUCAAAUAAUUAAUUGAGGUGGUUGAUUGACAAAACAAUUACAACACAUAACAAUUACCUUAUAUGGUGUGAUGAUGAAAAUGCUAAAUUUCAUUCCCUUAGUUGGUCCAUGGUUCAAAUAAACAUAUCAGUGACUUUGAUUUUUUUUAAUUAAUGACAUUUCAUAUGAAUCAAUAAACUAAUUAAGUCUCAUAUAUAGAAAUAAGGCAGUAUAUAAUGAAUAAAAGCAAUUGAAAUCUAAACAUUUUGUUUGACAUCAUUUAAAACUUAUUUAUAUCAAACUUCAAAAGAAUAAACAAUUUUAGAAAAAAAAAUUCAUGAACAUAAAUAAUUAAAUAAUAUUUUGUUAACAACAGUCUGGGGGCGGUAGCUAGUUACACACGGAUCCCCAUGGAACAAACGAAAUCGAACUAAAAGUCUACAACUUUGCUGUCAGUCUGCCUCCACAAAUUGAACUACAAGUCUACAACUCGAAAUACAAACAAAUUUUUGACUGAUUUAAAAUUCAUACAUCAUUCUGAUUGUGCUGCAGAAGCACAAUGUAGCAAAACAACAUUCAAACAUGAAAAAAUAACAACAAUGGAAUUCUCAGAAGAAAUCCCCUACAUUCCAGAAAAUUAAAAAGCAUAGAAAACUUUGAGACCAAACUUCAGCAUAUUCCAUUGUAACUACCACUGCAACAUUCAAAACAAAGUAUUCAGUGUUUAUUCAUGAGCUACUUCAGCAACAGCAAGAGAUAAUUGACAGGAAUAUCAUGAGUGAACAUCAUAUCCAACAACAAAAGAUAAUUGACAAGUAUCAUACCUUAGAAUAUGAUGAGUGAACAUCACUCAAUCACUCAAUUCCAGUAUCAGUUCCUCGGCAUUAAAGAUUGACGAAAGAAAUUGACAAACAAAAAAAUUGACAAAGUUAGCGCAAAUCAUAACUAAAAGAAUAGAUUUGUAGAACUUGAUAAACCAUUAACUCAUAGUUACCUUGUUGCAAAUCCUCCAUUAUCCAACUCCUUGUGCACAUCAUAGCCUCAACUAUCGAGUAAUGGAGUCUGCUCUGAUAAGGGUCUAACAACCUCCCACCAUAACUAAACGCACUUUCAAAGGCAACCGAUGUUACAGAUAUUGUCAUAAAAUCCCUUGAUAUAGAUUGCAAGGUGGGAUAUUUCAGCUCAUGAAAUUUCCAUCACAUCAAAAGAUCAAACUCCUCUUCUUUGGGACCUUGUUUUCGAGGAAGAUCUUUCUCAGUUAGAUAAUGGUCUAAUUCACUAGCUACUAAGGUGGCUUUGCUCUUCUUUCUUUGUCUAACAAACAACUCGAAAUCAAGAGCAUUUCCUAAAACGGAGGUCGAACCGGAACUAUUAGUAGGAUACUAACCAACCGGUGCAGCCUUCUUCUCGGCUUUAGAUUGAUAUUCCAUAAUCAAAUUACAAAGAAUUUGUUUGAUAUUUUCAAAUACCAACUCAUUGUCCGUUAUCCCAAACUUUACAACAUAGUAAUCAAUCACAUGUAGAUUAUAUCUAGGAUCCAAAAUAACUGACACGGCAAGAACCAAAUGGAUAUCAUCCUAGUAUUUGGUAAACUUUAGCCACAUAUUAUGAGCCAUAGUAGAGAUUACAGGAUUCAAAUCAACACACCACUCAAUCUGUUUUAGUUGAAGAUCACAAAUCUUAGGAAAAAUAAAUUGGCAGUGGGAUACUUAUUACCAGAAAACAACUUAGUGAUAUCAGAAAAAAAUUCCAACUUAAUGAUCACAACAGAUGCAAAUUCCCAAUGAGCAUUUGUCGGAACUGAAUUAUACUGAUUAUCUCUCUGUUUUAGGAAAAAGAAGACUUAUUUAUACGGUGUAGCAUGAGAAAGCAUUGCAUAGGUUGAAUUCCACCUAAUCAGACAAUUAAUGACUAGUUUCUUUUCAGUCACCAUCCUAAGUUGCUUAGUGGUUUCAUAGAAUAUUUGAACUCUUUUAGGUAUAGAAUACCAAUAAACUAUACUCUCCCUCACCAAAGUUAUACCUUCCUUGAUUAUAUCCAAACCGUGUCUUGCGAUCAAAUUCAGCAUGUGUGCAGCACACCUCAUAUGCAUCAAACUACCAUCAAGAAGCAAGUCAGCCAACUGAAGUUUGUUUUUUAGUUGGGGAAUCAUGGCAUCAUUGGUGGUACAGUUUUCCAAUGUGACUGAGGACAACUUACCAUCAAUGUUCCAAUCCAACAAACAAUCGAACAGUCUAUCUGCCAACCUCUCACUAGUGUGAGGGGCCGGAACAUACAUAAACCGCAACAAAAUUGACUUAACCUUCAACAAAUUGUCGAUGUAAUGGCCAGUUACUGCCAUAUAACCCAUCUUCUGAUUUGUGGCAAUCCACAAAUCAGUAGUGAUAGCCACCCUUCCUAAAUUUCCAUCUACAAUCCGCUGAAAUCUAUCCCUUUCAACCCCAUACAAAGUCAAGAUGUCCUUCUUGAUUGUGUUUCUACAACAAAGCCGCUUGAAUCCCAGGUGCUCAACGAUGCUAAGAGGGUACUCGUGAACCAAAAUCAUGGAAUAGAGUUCCUUGCUAGCAACAUCAGCUCUAUACUGGGAUUCAUCAAGUUUGGGUUGACCAGCUGGAUUGUAAUUAGGGUCAAGAAUCCUUUGCUGGCCGUCGUGAAUCUUCUUUUGGAUACACAAAUUCCUUAGAUGGUUUCUCAGAUGUGAAGUUCCAUUAGAUGUUUCGCCACCCAACAAUUUUCUACAGUAAUUGCACCUAGCCUUCAUAAUUACACCAAUCCUAACCCUAGAGAAGUGAGGCCAGAAAUUGGAUGUAAGCCUAUGUUAUUCGGGUUCAUCUCCAUCACCAUGACCAUUAACCAGAUUAUCAUUUGCAGGUACAACGGCAUCUGCCUGUUCAGGUUUGUUAAUUUGGAUAGAUUGUUGAGGUGCAUUACCAAUUGGUUCCACAUUAGGUGCCCCUUCCAUCUGAUAAUAUGACCGUUUAUAUUAAUUAACUGAACAGAAUAGAAGAGUUAAGAAGAUAGUAACGAAGAGAAUGUUUUACGAUGUUUCUAUUUUAGGUAAUGUUUCAGAGUAGAGGAUACAGAUUAGUUAUAUAGAUGAUUUUAGUUUACUAAGAUUAGUUUAUGUUGAGUUUAGGUUUACUAAUCACUAUUUCUGUUCUAAUUGUGCAAAUUUGGGAAUGGAGGAUAAGAAGACUUCUUAGAUGAACCGUAGAAGAGAAGAAGAGACAAUUCUCUACCUUUAAUCCUCUACAGCUAAUCUCAGAGUCCUCUCAUCAUUUUUCCAUCACUUUAGCACAAUCCAGAACAUAACAUAUUAGAGAUUAGAAGAUUAGGGAUUAGAUUAUAGGUUAUGUUUCAGAAAUUAGUACAGAGCAUAGAACAGAGAUUAGUUUAUGUUCAGUUCUAGUUUACUAAUCAUUAUUUCUGUUUUACAAAGUUUCUAUUUUAGGUUAAUGUUUCAGAGCAGAGGAUACAUAUUAGUUAUAUGGAUGAUUUUAGUUUACUGAGAUUAGUUUAUGUUAAGUUUAGGUAUACUAAUCACUAUUUAUGUUCUAAUUAUAUAAACCUGGAAGUGCAGUAUAAGAAGACUUAGAUUUCAGUUCAUUACACCAACUCAAUGCAGUGAGCAACUCAAUACAGUAACUAAUCGGCUAAUCAGUUCCAAAAAACACCAAGAAUACACUGGUAAAAAAUUUACCUUAUCCAAUGUUGAGUAGAACUUCAAACUUUGAGCCAAUCGAAUGGAAGCUUGCUGAUUGCAAGAGCUUCUUAACAGCAGAAACCCUAAACAUGAACAAGAAACAAAAAAGUUAAUUUCUUCUGGAAAAAAUAAGUACAUAAAAUCAUACAUUGGAAAUACAAAUUCUAAAAGACUAAACCCUAAUAAACUUACCUUGUUUUUUCUCACACUUGCUCGUACCAAAGCUUGAUGAUGGCUACAGAUUGAUAGCAAAAAACCUACACAAUACACAUGAACAAGAACACAGAAACAUUAGAUUUGACCCUUUCUUCAGCAGAAAACCUAUAGAGCAUCAUAUUAUGGAAAUAACGUAUCUAAAACCUAAUCAAGUUACUCUAUGUUUUUCUUAGAAUUGCUCGAUGCUAUGAUGCUGCAAGUCGCUCGAUAUUAGGAUACUGCUACAAUCAAAGAAAAAGGACCCUAUUUAUAGACAAGUAGGUGUCAGAAACUCAAAAUAUACGAACAAAAGAAUUGGAUUUUGAAAGGGGAAACACGGAAAGGAAAGAAUAAGUGCAUGCAUGAACUUAUCUAUGAUAGUAAUCGAAGAAUGAGGGGAGAUAUGAACCCUAAACGACAAAUAUUCGUUAUGGGAGUUGUAAUCAACGAAAUCGUCGGAUUUGAUCGAUCUAAUGUGUUCAAAACAAGAAAGAGAAGAAGGAAUUCGCGAAAUCGUCGAAGAUUUCAUGGGAAAUCGUCCGAAUUUUCGUCAAGGAGGUCAUUCAGAGAGAGAAAAUCUUUGAAUCAUCGUCGAUCGGGGACUCGGUUGAGAGAAAAUUUUGGGGAACGGCUAGGGUUUUAGUGAAGUAAGGAAAGCGUACGGCUGACGUUGAUCCAUUGGUUUAUAUACCAAAGCUGAAACGACGUCGUUUUAGUACCGGUUUAUCCAGCAGGUGGGCCUCGGGGCGGAUUCCGCUGAAUCCAUCACCACCCGGUAACCGUAUCCGAUGGAUUUGGGGCCACCCGCGAACCAUUAACGGGGCCGGGAACCAGGCCAGAAAGCCCAAAUUUCGGGGAAAACCUACGAAUGCCUAUCGUGGACUAACCUAGAUGUCGAACCUAAUUAUAAUCAUCAAAUAAGGUAAAUAAUUUAAGAUGAUCCAGAUUAAUAUUCAAUUAAUUUCCCAAAUCUUAAAACUAGGAUUAUGAUUAAAAAAUAAUUAUUGUUAAUUAAGUUGAACACGUCAUCUAUUAUCUUUAACCUUUCAUCAUCAUCAACCCACAGCCGGCUGCUUCGGCUAGCCAUACCGUUGUCGGCCAAUCUAAAGGGCCAGCCUGUCCAAUCGGCCUCACUGGCGACGACUUAUUCGUCCGUAACCGUGGCUGGGCACAAUACCAUAAGAAAGCUGAGGCAACUGGUGAACGGGCUACGACUCCAUCACCGACGAGGGUGAAUGCAGGGGCUACCAUUCGGGCGAAGGAAAAGAGCAUUGAAUCACUUUAAACUAAUAAACUUCCUAGGAGAGAAAGCUCUCACAGAGACUAGGAAAAGGUUUGGAAGUACACUUGAGAUUGAACUGAAUGGUUGAGACUAAUUGGGAUCAGAUUAAUUAAGCAGGAGAUUGUGUUUCUACUGGACCUUUUAUUUUUGUUUUAAUUAUCAUUGAUAGAUGGAGUUAGGUUGUUGGUAUACUAAAUAGAAUUUAUGAAUGUUUAGUGAUGUAAUAAGUAUGUUGGAGCUAUUAUAGUGAUCAAAAGAAAAUUUUCCCAGGCCAAACUUUUAAAUCAAGAUAAAAAGACAAAUAAUUUGAUGUUGGUUGGAAUUAAGUAGAGUAAUUAUUAUGUUAUUUGAGUUUUUAUUUAUUUUAAAUUUGAAAUAAGUAGGAGUACUCGUGCACCGAGUAUACCAAAAUUAAUCUUGUUACGUAAGACUAAAGGUUGUUAUGUAAGGCUUAUAUAGCACCAAUUAUACCUUACGUAAAAGCCUUAAUUUUGCCUGUUACUAAGGCUAAAGACUGUUACGUAAGACUUACGUAACGGCAGUUGUUCCUUACGUAACGUAACCUGCUAUUACAGGUCACUAACUCAAAAUCACCUUACUUUAAGUUACAUAAUGUAACCUACUAAACCUUCUAUUAUAGAUGACUAACUCAAAAUCACCUUAUUUUGAAUUAUUUCAAGUCAGUUUAUGGAAUGCCAAUCAAAGAAUAAGUGUCUACGGUGUAGUUAAAAAGACAAUUAUAUUAUUGGUUUCCACCGAUAACUUAAUGUUAAUGUUUUCCAAACUUUUUUUCAUUGAGUGCGAGUAUAUUAGUAACAUUGUGUCCAGAGGUGGAGCUACUUAAAUUUAAAGAAUGACAACCUGUACAUGGCUUGGCUGGGAUUUGAAAACUAGACAAGCCAAUAAGCAAUCUGCUCACUAACCAUCUCGGUUGAAGAUAGUUCUUCUAGCUGUAGGCAUUCGUUUUUAUUUAUCCCUUCUUCGGUCUUGUUAUUAUAGGCGUUAGUUUAACCAUAAAUAAAAUAAAAUUUGUAUGUUAGUUUAGACAAAAAUGCGUUUUACCAUAUUUUCAUAAUAUAAAAUGUUUUUGCACCAUUACAUCAUCGAAAAAUGGUGACAUCCUUUCAAGGCAAGGGGCGGCCUGAUUGGACAUUGUUGUUUACUCUAAUCUGGUCGAGUUGGUUUUCGUGUACUUAUGGGUGGUCUGAGUAUUGCAUCGGGGAUUGUUAUAGGCGGUGUGUUUUGAACUAUUAUUUUGCAAUUGUACGAAUCUUUAUGACGUCUACUUAUGUUGAGUGAUGCUAUAUAAAAUCCGUAUUUUACUUCGCGCAGUCUGUAUUUUACUAUAAGUAGACUAAUAUACCCUUAAUUAAAAAUACUAUUAUAUACGAACUGCAUUAGUAAAAUACUACAAAUCAUUCAUCAACUAAACAAUCUAGACUUAAGUUCUUCAUUCAAACGAGCGCAAAGUUUUUUAUUCCAAUCAAUCCACGAUUAAUUGUUUUUUGGGAAUUAUCAAGUUCUUCGUUCCUGGUAAGUCAAUUGCCAAUUUAAUUCAUAGCUUUUAUUCAUAGCGUUUCAAUUCAUUACUUCUCAAUUUUUAAUUCGUAUAUAUUGUGUUCAAAAUAUCCUAUGAACAAUAGUUUUUAUAUUUAUAUUUGAAAUAUUUAUUUAUAAAAACGGAUUAUGCGAAAUAAAAAUGAAUUAAAUUAAUAAAACCCGACUGUACGAAGUAAAAACGGACUAUAUUGAAAGAAAACGGGGAAAUGUCUACAUGUCUUUAUUCCGCAAUUCGUAUAGAUGUUUUCACUCUCUGUCGCAUCCGCAAAUCAGAUCAAACACUUUCGUGCGAAUAGGUUCGUUGUCAAACUUUGGCAAUUUUACCACUCCGUGCUCCCUAUAUAAGUCGCUCUAAAAAGUGUCAGUUAGCACCAGAAUUUACCUCCCCCCACCCCCAGCAUUUUACUAUGCAAUUUAUCUAGUUAUUACUGAAACCCACAUUAGUAGUUUGUUCCCUUGGAAAAACACGAUCAAUUCCCUCAGAAAAUUUACAUUUUAAAAAAGUUUUCAAAUACUAAAAAAAUUGAUUUUAUUAUAUUUAUCUUUAAAAAAUUAAUCUUUUCAUAUCAAACAUAUGUUAAAUAAAAAUGAUAUGUUCAAAAUAAAGUGAAAAAGUGGAUAUAAAAUUAAUAUUGAUCUCGUUAGGUUUAUCUUUAAAACACGAUUCUUUCUCUAUAAAGUUAAUAAAAAUCGGAUUUAAAAAGAUUGAAAGAGUUAGGUUAAUUUAACAAAACAGUCGGGGAAAAAAAUAUUUUGAUAGUACCUAAACAAUCCACUUGGAUCUGUGCCAUUAGAUUUAAAAAGAUUGAAUAAAAAAUGAUCGAAUGACUAAGAUUCCUUCAGCAGAUUGCUAAAAGACACCUUCAGUAUCAGAAGCGAGUCUUAGAUUAAUGAUGUAAUUGGUGUUCAGACUAGAUUCACUUAACAUAAACCCCAUCUUUGUUUCUAAAUUAGAUUUCAUUUGGUGUUUAUCAACUUAUUAUAUUAUCACCGGAAAUAACUUCCCAACAAUCUAUGCACCAUUGAUUCGUGACAGAGAAAUUGUUAAGUUUCUAAUCAAUGUCCUUUGCACUUGACCAUCCAAACCUCUCGGUAGCUGUAGUUUCGUAGCUUUGUUUCUGGCAUUAACAUGAACAUGCAUGUCACGAAAUUGUUAAGACAUAUAUUUUAGGAAAAGUUCCUUCCGUGAACAAUCUCAGUAUUGAGUAUUCCAUGCCGAUGAUAAGGGUGAAUUGAAAACAGCCUUAGAGAAAGAUGAAACAAAGAGAAUUAGAAGAGAGGUAGAGAGAAUUGGAAGAGAAGUAGCAGCUAAAAAGCUUGUAUAUUGCUUAAUGAAUUUGUCGGUUUCUCGCUUCUCAGGCAAUGCUAAAGAUAUGGAUUCACGAUUAUGUAUUUUUCGGAGAGUCGUUGUUAGUAAUAUCUGGUACGAAAGAUAUAAAAAGCGUGCUGGAGAGUAUCAUUGUGACGCGAUUGAUCUUGGUAGGCAAAUCUAUAGAGAUUCUCUCAUUAUUCAGCAGGAGUUCUAUAUAGUUUUCUUUUUUGUUUGUCCUCUGUGAGCAGAUUUUUGUUUAUGUUCUUGAAUAGGCGGGUUUUGCUAUUUAGCAAUUCAUGCAUAUUUUGAUGAAUAAAAUUGCAUAAUAUUCAUUGAUAAAAAUUUCGGCGAGGCUAUUACAUUUAUUUAUAGGUUUUGUUCCUUUCCAAACCCUACAAGGAGAAGGACUAAUUAUACAAUAUUUAUUUACAAUACAAUCACUGCAAUUAUCUUAUUUAACAACCUCCCGCAAACGGAUGAUGAUCUCUCAACAUAAGUUUGGUUGAACAUACCAAUGUCUACUCGUAGUCAUGACCUUAGUGAAUAGUUCUGUCGUUUGAUCUUCAUAGUUAAUGUAGUGUAUCUUGACUACACUGUCAUGAACCAGCUCCAGUAUAUAAUGUAAAUAUGUCUCAAAAUUCUUCGUCCUAUCAUGAUGCAUGGGAUUGGACAUAAUACUAAUGGAACUAGUAUUAUGAGUAAGUAAUUGUACAGACCUUUGUACCUGACCCCCAAUUCGGCAACCAGACGAAGUAAGCAAAACACCUCCGAACACGCUUCCGACAUGGAUCAGUACUCUGCUUUAGUGGAGGAUUUCGACACCUUGUAAUGCUUUUGGCAUCUCCAAGACAUAAAAGAGUGUCCAAGAUGAACACAUGAUGACACUCGAUUUGUUGUGUUCAUCAUCCUCAUUUAAGCGACAUUUCAUGCAUAAUUGUAAUGCUUUACAUAGAAGUUUAGAAUAUUUUAUGCAUUUUAAGAUUUUUUAUCUCGAUUUAGUGUCUCUGACCUGGUUGGGGUCCAUUUGAUGUCAUUUUGGAGUCUUUUUAUAGAUUACAUGUACAUAACAACUUCGAGGCAUUAAUCGAGGCAAUACGGUGUGUGUGGAUGGUCUAGGACAACCAAUAGGAAGCAUUUUGACAUCUUCAAGGACAUUGGAUCACGACUUGGUCGGAAAAAGUCGUAGUUUCAUAUUGUGGACAUAUCUCCUAGCUCAGAAGUCCGAUUGAUGCAAGGCCGGCGGCAUUGGAAAGCUCGUUACAACUUUGAUCAGGGAGUUAUGUCAAGAUUGCCGCUAUGAAUCAGUCAAAUUUGCCGCUAUGUGCAUAGCGGCAAGAUUGACAUUUCAUAGCGGAAAAUUUUAAUCCUCUCUCUGGAAACAAGUCAAGAUUGCCGCUAUGGAUAUGUCGAUUUACCGCUAUGCACAUAGCAGAAAGAUUGAACAACCAUAGUGGCAAAGUUGACAUUUCCAACAAAUUGAAUGAUUUUUUUGGAAACCUCUAUUUAAAGCCCGGUCCUCCCUCAUUCGAAGUCAGACUUUUUUGGACGAAAUUGAGAGAUUUGAGAGCAACGAGGAGGCUACUUCAAGAAACUCGGGAUUGGCAAAAUAAUCAAGACGACGAAUCAAGUUCUCGAGAAGAUCGGCGAAAUUAGGUUUUUCAUAAUUCUUUAUGUAAACCUUGAUUCAAUGUUUUCCUCUUCUGAUUUUAUUUGUCUAUCGAGAUUAUGAGCGGCUAACUUCUCUUUCUUAGAUUAGAUGAACCCUAGGUUAAUUCCUAUGAAUGAAUGAUUUGAUACGUUUGACAAUUUAUGCGAGUUGGACGGAUUAUAUUACAUAUUUGAUUUCGUUUUCGAUUUGUUCUUGAUUGAUAAACUUGAAUUAAAUCUAUGUUAAAUUUGUCUUAGACUCGCGAGAGCUUGCAUAUCUAGAAUGCCGAAAUGAAAUAACUGGGUUAGACGUUAACCCUCAUCCAAGAACGAAUGAACUAGUCUGUUGUGUGAGCAAUUCGAAAUCGGUAAAUCGCAUAGCGGGUUUUAGAUCUUUGUCUCGAAAGAGCGGACUAGAAUACUAGAUAGGUAGCAAAUUGGCAGACCCGAAAAGGCGUGAUUUGAUUAGAGAAGAAUUUCGACAGUGUAAUGCAUCUAUCCGGUUUUGUUUAAAUUGUGCAGUCUUGCAACCCAUUUAAUUUAAACAAAUUUUCAUUUUUCUUUAUGACAGUUUGAUUGAUCAUCGUGGAACCUAAACCAUAUUCAUUUAUAUUUUGAUUAGUACUAAUUAUAACUUUGAGUAAGAUACUUAAAGAGACCCUAGGGAGAUUCGACCUGGUUGAUUCAUUAACCGGUUUAUUUUGAUAACGGGUAAAAAAACUUUAUCAACACACCAACUUGACAUAGAGCGACGAGUGUCUAUACAACCUGCAUAAUCAGCUUCAGCAAAUGCGUCUAACAUAGCUUCUCUAGUAGAAGGGAACCACAUCCCAAGGUCACGAGUGCCUUGUAUGUAUCAAAGGAUGUGAUAAACUACUUGAAGAUCCGGCUUUCUCCUCACUCAUUUUGUUCCUGUCCUAUACUUCACAAACCUCUUCCAAUCGUGAACUUCAUCGUCGGGAUUAGGCUUUGCUGCUAUAUACUCAACGACUGUCUUAGGGUUUUCGGGUUAUGGAUUUUCUUCGAAACUGCCCCUCGAUGCUCUCUUCACUUCUUCCCUAGAUCAUGGAAGUUAUACUUUCGUAUAUCUUUAUCAUCCUCAGGCCUCCAACAGAACUUAGGCUACAUCGAUAUAGAUUGAUUUAACAAAGCAUUGAUAAAAGAUAUAAAAUACUCUAAUCCUCUAAAUAAGAGAUAGAAAAUAUUCUAAUAUUUACCUCUACUAGUUUAUUCCAACAAUCGGCCUUGUCCAAAUAACUCACAUAUUGCCAAUCGUUGUGGCCAAUGGGGAAGCGUUCCUGAGGCACACAACCCACAUCCAACUCAAUAAAAAUCUUUCUCCCAUCCUACCCAACAUUGCUCGACUCUCUAACCAUCCACUUUUCCUCAUAUAGGUUACCAUUUUCAUCUAACAAACAAUACAUCAUAUAUUUUACAAACACACACAUAUACAUAAUACAUACAUCAUACAUAGUUUAAAGAGAAAAUAUAUAUACCAUACAUGCAACACACAUAGCACUCUGAACCUUCCUUCUCCGUUGCACGCCGCUGAUCAUCAUCAUCACCACCAUUCCCUCCAACUCUGCUACCUCCCAUAACGUCCCCCAUGACUGAAUUCAUAUAAUACAAUCAGCAACUAUGUUCUAUAAUAAAAUAAUUAUUACUGAUAAUCAUCUCUAGAUAAUUAACAAACCAUAGUCACAUUAUAAUAUGCACCUUCGCUAUCAUCAAAUAUAUGUAAUACAUAUGUUUCUAAUCAAUUUAUAAUGCUAAAAGAUCUCACCAUAUAUGUUCACUAAACUAGAUUAUAAAAUAUUAUUAGUCUACCAACCUUAAAAUAGAAGGAACUUUAAGUUUAAUGGAUGAAUUUGGAAAAUCUUCUUUUUCAAAUCACCAAAUACAACAAGGUUAACCAAAUACAAACAAUUAAUACAUGAAUAUCAAACAUAAAACAAAAAAUUCCAAAUUUCUUUAUAAAAAAACAUAUACCAACCUCAAAUUAGAUACUCCUAAUCCAAUAGACCUAAAUGUGUGCUCGAUUUCUUCGUAAUAACUCUUGGACAAGAUCAGUAACUAUCAAAAUCCCAAAAUUUAUAAAUCAAUUUGAAGAACCCCAAUUCGAAAAAACCUAAUUUACUCUUAGUUCGAACAUCCCCAAUUCAAACAACCCAAAAGCACUCUUAACACUAAACUAUGUAUCCACUGAAAAUCUGACAUGGGAAGCUAACAACGGAUUUUAUCUACUAUUAAACCUAAAGAUGGAUAAAUCUGUUGUUAGGUUUCUAACUUAACGGUAAAAGUGAAUCCGCUCUUAUGUUAACUAUCAAUCACCGUUAAAUUUUAUGUUUAACAGCGGAUUUUUAUCCGCUUUUAAAUAUGUGUCGUUAGCACAACAAAUUCUUGUAGUGGCUAUAUAGUUGCGCAAUCCCCUAGUUGAUUUCAGGUUUCAGGCAUGACGUGGACAAUAUGUCUACAGAUACCGAUCAACGAUAUUUACGAGUGGUUUUAUCGUCUGACCACCAUGAGGCUAUCCAUACACAAUUAGGGUGGCUGAUGCUAGGUUGAUGCUUACAGGACCACAAGGUCCCAUUACUAGAGUAGUGACUAGGAUGACUCCUACGUUCUAUCCUUAGUUUUAGUUACAGUUCUACGCGAGUCUGGAUAGCCACUCAAUGCUGAUCACUAAUCCCGUUAGAUAUUUGUUUUCCCUGUUGUAUGGCUGAGAGAGAGCUGGUCGAAGUAUUUAUUGAGAACUGGAGUUGUAUCUCCGCUUAUCUUGUGUUAAGCAUGUAUUUAAGGAUCCAUGAUCCUUGUUUUGUCAGGUUUUGAAGUUUUAUUAGAGUUUCAGUUUAGUACUUAAAGCUUGUUUUUAUGCUUUUAGAGGUCUUUGAGUCGAGGUUGGUUAAGAUUGGAACCCAAGUAAGAUUUCUUGGUUGAACCAGUGGUUCGACCGAGAAUCCUAAGGUGGGGUUUUACAUAAGCUCGGGGGGAGAUACUUUCGGGAUCCAGAAAAAUCGUCUGAUUCACAACACUGACCAGCUCCGACAUCCUGAUACACGAAGCAACUGAUUCCACCAAACUAGGACCCAUAGUGUACCAACAUUUCUGAUAGAAGAUAUAUUGGAAAUGAUCCUUUCCUGGCGCUUUGAACCCUCUAUAUCCUUGAUCACUCGAGCAGUUUCGUCAGGCAUGACCCGUCGACUCAUAUGUGAAAUGUCAGCAAUAGAAGGGAAACGAAAGGGAAGAGACGUGAGAUUACCUUCCAUGGCAGUGUAGAACUCGAGGAAGAAUCCCAAGCCAUCCAUUUUAGUUAAAGACCAUCAAAGACCCAAUUUCCAACAACAUCUUUCAGGACCGUGAUCUUGUUUUUAUUUCGCCGCUAGAGAGUAGAGGUGUGAAAAAUGCGGGUGUUCCUAUCGCCAUCGAGGACAGAUUGGAUGAGAGACUUCUGUUGCUAGAGAAGAUCCUCCUAUCUUGGCAGAUUGGGUGCGCUCCAAGGUCCCAUGCAUACCUUGCUCUUCCUGGCAGUGCUGGUCAUCGAAAGGGAGGUCUACAUUAUCGUUCUCAAGAACCUGCAACUUGUCUGAAAGUUAUUGCGUACGCCGAAUAAUGUUUCCAAAGACAUCCUGUUACCAUUGCUUUAGAGAGUUAGAAAAGUCCUACAAAAGCAGCACUGAAACUACCACAGAUCGCCUAUGAGGAGGUGAGAAGAUGGGGGAAAUCCUCAUGGGCCAACCAAGGAGCAAGGAAACGAAACAACAAUUAUGCUUGGGUGGAGGAGGACUAGCACAAGAAAUAAGCAGUAGAGGUCUAUGGUUUGACUUGAGAUGCAAGAGAUGGCAGAUCAUGGCAUCGAGAAAACAAGUCAUUCUAAGAGGGCCCAAAACUAGGUGAAUUUGGGUCAUGUGAAGCCCAGAUCUCGUAACCCAUAGUCGCAAACACAAUGGGCAAAUUAAACAGUAUGCCACCGACCAAAAGAAGCACCACCUCUCUGCUCUGACAAGUGUAAGAGAGAAUUGAAGUCCCAUGCAACAAACCAUGAAAGCACCAUACCCUAAGAAAAGUCCCAAAGCAAUCCCACAGUAGGGCACGUCACGCCGGGUUUAGCGCUACGUAGACUGUAGUGGCGAGGGACACUUCAUCCAUUGAGGAGAACCUUGAAAUUAAUAGUCCGUAUCAAGUAGUGAAGGAUCUGGAUGAAUAUGUCUGGCACGCUACAACACCCAGAAACCAGCUGAAAAGCCAACAAUGUCCACCACAAAACACUGGUCAAAACCCAUUUUAUUAAUAAUAAAUGAGCUCGAGACCCACUAAUACGAGGCUCAAACAUGAAAAUAAAAUUUGAAUGGUGGUCACACAUAAAAUCUAUGAAGAAAUGGAGAAACCUAUCAUGGCUAGCUCCAAUAAAAUUCCAAUAAAAGACACUAAUCAUUAAAAGAAAAGAAAACGAGAAAUGAAGAGUUCCUUAAUUAAAACGCACAGCCCCUUUAGAGGUGACAUUUAAAUAUCCGAGAUCCCCAGUUUCAUUAUUUUGCUUUAUUGUAGAUGAUUUCAUUGAUGUUUCUGUAGCGGUACCCUCUUUCUGUUUUCUUGGAGCUGGGUUGUGAGCUGAAACUAUAGAGCCCUUCACUCCUUUGGUGGGGCCACAUGCCCGAGAGUUUGUUUUCGGUUGUGCUGCAUGAAAGGUUAUCAACAAUUCGGUGCCUCCCAUGAUAUCCACACGUACGUCUGAUGACGUUCAAUUUGUCAUGUUUUCUACAUAAUUGUAUUGCGUUGGGUAGAAAUUUAGGAUGUUAUAUACAUUUUAAUCUAAUAUUCCUGAUUUGGUGCCUCACACCCGGUUGGAGUCAAUUUGAAGUCACAUAACAACAUCGAGACAUUAACAAGAGUGAUAUUAAGUGUGGGGACUAUGGAGGAAAAGCAGUUUGAAGCAUUUGGACAUAUCAAGACAACUUAAAAAGCCCAAGAAGCACAAGAUCUCAACUUGAAAAGAAAUUGACAUUUUAAUAUUUUGGGCAUAAGCCCUUGCUCAGAAGUUUGCAUGAUGUAAGGCCCACAGCAUUGGAAAGCUAGUUCAAUUUCUUGUAAUUUUGAUGAAAUUAACUUUGGCUAGAACUGUCGAGAUUUGGGCCUAAAACCAUCAACAACAGAUCAGUGUGACGAUCAACAAUUUAGGGGGAGGGUAGUCAAAAUCCUAUAUAGAAGGCAUGGACUUCAAGAAGCUCAAAUUGGAAGACAUAAUCAAGAUUGGCGUAUCAAUUUCUUCGACUAUUCUUGGUGAAAUUAGGUUUUUUGGAUUUCUUCUUGUAAACCUAAUUCCAAUAUGUUCCUUUGUUGAUUUUUAUUUGAUCUCUUCAGGUCUAUCAGGACAAGAUGCUUGAGCUUCAGGAAGGUAGCUACGAUUAAAACUCUACUAGGAAGCUAAUCUGAGGUAGGAAGGAGGGGUUAGGUUUACAUUAUGCUAUUUAAGCAUAGAACUCUAAGAAGAUGUUGGGAUCCCAAUGAUGGGAUUCCUAUUGUGAUGAAUCACGAUAUAGAGCGAGGUCUCUCAGGUUGUACAAAAGCCUAUGAUCUACUGUACAAGUUAUGUAUUACGAUAUAGAGUGAGGACUUUCAGGUUGUGCAGUAGCAUGUGAUCUACUGCACAUGAUUCGAGCAUAAGCUCUUCAUAGUUGAAUUGUGGUGGGUGAUCUACAGUUCAUGACAGUAUACUACUGGAUAAGCCUAACUAGGGUAGUUCAUGAUUAAGUUUGUGUCGGUCACCCACCCCUGGAUUGUGCAAUCCUCUAGGUGAUUUUAGGUUUCAUGCAGGAUGUGUAGAGUAUGCCUACAUAUGCUGCUCACACAAUAUUCAAGAGUGGUUUAAUGGUUAGAUCUGCCAUGAGGAUAUCCAUACAUAGUUAGGGGUGGUUAAUGCUAGGUAGAUGCUUACCGGACCACAAACUCCCAUUAGUAGAGUAGUAACUAGGAUGACUCAUAUGUGCUAUCUAUGUAUUUCAGCUACAUGUGUUGAAGUUGAUGGUAGGGAGAGAGGUGGUCGGAGUUUUGAUAUCGUUAGAUAUAUGUUUUGUUGUAUUUUGAGAACUAUAGUUGUAUCUCCACAUGUCUUGUUUUAAACAUGUAUUUAAGGAUCCAAGACCCUUGUUUUGUUAGGUUUCCAAGUCUUAUUAGAGUUUCAGUUUAGUACUAAAAGCUUGUUUUUAUGCUUUUAGAGGUCUUUGAGUCGAGGUUGGUUAAGGCUGGAAUCCAAGAUUUCUUGGUUGAACUAGUGGUUCAACCAGGUCUCAUAGGAUAGGGUUUCACAAUCUAGAACUUGUUCGUUGUGGAAUGAUGAUGUAGAGUACUCUACUAUCAUUUUAACAACUGUAUGAUGACUAGAUACCACUACUCAAAUGAGAUCUUCUAAAGGAUCCUCAAAACCAAUUUGAAACGUUUUCAACCAUCGGUUUGAGCUUGAACAAGUAGUUACAAUUUCUACUUUUUCACUUUACCUGGUUCAAUUCAUUCUCAACUUCAUUUUAGCAUUAGUUUAUCAUAGCUAGCAAGCUAAAUUUCAUCACAUGUGAAUCUAUGCAAAUAUAUCAAACCUACAUCGAAGGGGUUACAAAAUGGGAUACAAUAUUAUUGGGGGUGCGUAAAAAAGACUUUUUGGUUUUGUCUUAUAUAAUCAUACGGGGAAAUAGGGCCUGGAAUGGAUUUUUGAGAAAUGAUGGAACUUUUCUAAGUGCCUCUUUGAUUCUACUGGUUCAAUGAUACGCAAAUUUAGUUUGAUGUCAUACAAACAUCAUAUUAACAUCCAACAAAGCAGACCAAUCGAAUAAUUUUAAGAACAAAUAUACAUGUGCUAUAGACUAUCUUAUACAAAAACUAUACUUUAGGCUUCUCAUUGUCUUUAUAUUGCUAAUAUGCAUGUCUUGUAACAUCAAGUUGGUGAGUUUGUGCUACGAAGAACAUAUCAAAGUCGCUCUAAAAAGGAAAUCAAUAGACUUUGAUCAUUGGCGUAAACUCCUAUAAAAUCUAGAUUCACAAAGCAAGUCAGCAAUUCAAGUGCACAAUUCAUAUAGAAAUGAACUAAGCAUGCCAAGCAAUUUGAUUCAAAAAUGCUUCCACAAGGCAUGAAUUUAGGACUCAACAUGCAAACACAAUGGCCAAAAAAGACUAACUAAUAGGUUUCCUAGACACACCCACCCCACACUUAGUUUGGAUAACGUCAUCACCGAAACAUAAAAAGUAUUAUAGGAAUACCUGGAAGAAAUAAGAGACUUGAGAGGCACGAGGGAUGAUUGAUCCAUGACGUUCGACCUCAAUGAUGAUACUAACUCCUAAAAAGGACAGAAAACACACAAAACCAAAAAUAAAAGUAAAAAAGAACAAGGACAAGUGUCCAAGUUCCACAUAGAAUAAAAUAGACCAAAGAUCUAAAAUGACAAAAUGAAAAGGUCCAAACAGAAAUGAAGAAACAUGUUACUAGUCGUCCCAAGGAGGGGAAUGCGAUGGGUAGCAAUACCCAUUCUAGUGGUGAGUGAGGUAGCGGAGAUAACACAUCUACUUUCGGUAGUGCUCUGACUCCCUCCUAUGCUGCUCCUCAAGUUGACGUCUCUAGGCCUUCUACUUCGCAGCUAUCUCUGCCAACCCCAUAUCCUGAUGAUACUGCCACAAAGUCUGCUCCUGCUGCCAAGACAGUUGUCUCGUGGAAAAUGAUGUCUACCAAGCCGUUUGCUGCUGCUGCGAAGAUAAGCUUCCCUCUCGAAAGGAAGUCUGCCACUGAUGAUGUUCGAUUUAUUGCAUUGAUCGCCCUCAUUUAAGUGACAUUUCAAGCAUACUUGUAUAGUUUGGGUAGAAAUGUAGAGUGUUUCUUGCAUUCUAAACUUCUAUAUUGAUUUAGUGUCUUAGACCUGCUUGGAGUCCUUUUGAUGUCAUUUUCGAGUGUUUUUUUUAUAGAUUUCAGGUAAAUAAAUAUAUCAAGGUAUUAUUCGAACCAAUACAACAUGUAUGGAUGAGCAAGGAGGAUUCGAGAAGUUGAAGAACCCAAACUGCGAAAACUGAGUCAGUAAUCGAGCCGAAGUCAAAUAGCUGCCGGAGAAAGUAUUUGACCAGCCAAGGCGCAAUGUUAUACCGUUUCCACAUCUUGGAGCUAUUAAAAUUGCGCCUUACGGAUGGAAGGUAUUUUACCGAGUUAGGCGCAAUAUAUGACAAAAUUGAGCUAGAAUUAGUAACUCAAAUCCUAUAAAUUAAGGGGUCCUCGACUUUUAGGUAGACCCUUUUGAAUGAAAAUGAGAGUAGAGUUCAUAGAAUUUUGAGCGACAAGAAGACAUCGAUUUUGAGGAGUUCAGAUCGAUAAUGAUGUAUCAAGACUUCCAAGUCACAAUAUUUGUGUAAAGCUAUCAAUGGUUUCUUUUGUCAAGUUUGCUUUGUUCUUCAUGACUGUGAGCAGCUAAACUGCUUUCUGCUUAGACUAGAUGAAUCCCGGGUGAUUCUUUAUGAACGAAUAAUUAUUAGACUAUGAUUAUUUAUAGGAGUUGCAUGGAGUUUAGUUUCUGAUUGAUUUCGUUUUCAUUCUUGUUUUCCAUUGAUCAACUUGAAUAAGCUCUUGUUAGAUUUAGAUUGACCUGAAAAAGCUUUUUUAUCUUAGAAGUCGAAAUCAAUUUACGAGGUAGUUAGUUCACCAGACACACAGCCGAGUAAACUAGUUCGUCAUGAGUCCAGUUCUAGAUUGAUUUAUCGCCAUACAGGCUUUAACUGCAUGACUCGAAAGAGCGGUCUAAGAUUCUAGGAUCGGUAGUAGGUUCCUGGCUGGUGGUGCUGGCUACUAGUACUCUGGAUGGAUAGGGAUGUCCUAACCAGGUGGAUCCUCCGCAGCAGCCUCUACAUCCCCAUGUCACAGAGUAACUACUCCGCCCCCGUUGUCUGUGCCCCACCCAUAUCUUGGUACUCAUCCCCUUCUUAGAGAAGCUCCUGACAAGGUUCCGAAUGUCCAAAUCUUUCAAAUUUACCAUCUCUUUCAAUGUUUGAUUCUUCCUCUCAGCCACACCAUUCUGCUGUGGUGUGUAUGGAGCAGUGGUUUCAUGGAUGAUCCCCACUCUUUGAAAGUAUGUUGGAUCAUAGAACUCCCCUCCUCGAUCAAUACGAAAUACUUUGAUCAAGAUACCUUGUUGCAAUUCAACUUCGGUUUAGAACACGAAAUUUCUCAAGAGCUUCAUCCUUUGAAUUCAACAAGUAAGUAUAGCAAUACCAAGAGUAGUCAUCAAUGCGAUAGUCGGAGUGCUAUGCAAGUCACACAAAUCGCUGUGUAUCAACUCAAGCAUCACUGAUUUCCGUUGGAUACUAGUGAAAGGCUUACGAGUAAUCUUAGUGAGCAUACACGUUUUACAUCGUUCAGCAUUGACAUUCAAAGAGGGCAAAAUUCCUUCUUUCGACAUUUCAGUUAGAUGUUUAUGGUUAACUUGUCCUAACCGAGCAUGCCAUAAGGAGAAGUCAGAGGUACCAACCAAGAAAGCAUGAUCAUUAAUAAUAGUAUUAUUAAUAUUCAGCAUAAACAUGUCAUUGUUAUAGUGGCCGAAGCCUACAAACACACCACCUUUAGAUAAUACAUAUCUAUCAGAUUCGUACACUUGUUUGUACCAAUAUCUGUUAAGCAUACUGUCUGACACUAAGUUCUUCCUAAUCUUAGAGAUGUGAAGUACAUCUCUAAGCUCUAGGCUUUUUCUCGAACUAAGUUCCAACACCACCAAUCCACGUCCAACAAUAGGGGUUGUUGACUCGUUACCCAUGUGAAGUACAACAUAAUCAUCUAAUGCCUCGUAUGUUUUGAACCAAUGACGAUCCUUGCAUACAUGUCUGUUGGCACCCGAGUCAAUCCACCAUGCCACUUCAUCAUCCUAUACAUAGAAUGAUUCUGAUAUUAGUGAAACAGAAUUCACAUCAAUAUUUAAAUUAAGGUCUAAGAACCGACCUUUUGAAGUGGAUGUCCCUUGAUCUUUCGAUCCUGACUUUUGACGCUGUUUGUUGUCGUGAUUCAGACUCUUAUUCGUGGGACAGUCACGUUUGAAGUAACCCGCUUUCCCACAUAUCCAACAACAAACUUUCUUUUCUUGUUAGAGUCUCCUUUGGUUUUUUUCCAAGGGCGUGUGCUUAAAGUCCUUCCAUUAAUAAGGAAGCUUGUCGAUUAUGUACGACACCGAGAUGGCCUCAUCCAUCUUCAUAUCAUGUUGGGCAAACUGUCCCAAAAUCCGGAGCAUCGCAUUGCAUUGCUCCAUAACCGGCCGGGUCUCGACCAUUUUGUAAUUUAGGAAAUUACUCACUAGGAACUUCGUACUCGAAGCAUCUGCAGCCAAAUACUUUGACUCCAGCGCAUCCCACAACUCGUGGGCCGAAUCAUAAUUUUGAUAGAUAUCAAACAAUGAAUCCGCCAUGCCAUUCAGAAUAUGGCCACGACAUAUGUAGUCCUCAUUGUCCCAUUUUUGCUGCUUCCGUACUCGUUCCUCCUUCUUCUUCUCAUCCGUCUCCGCCUCCUCCUCAAGCUCCAGAGGAUAAGGUGUAGAGACAACAUACACGACCUUCAAAGUAGUAAGAACAAAGUGCAUCUUCUUCUGCCACCGACGGAAAUCCACACCUUCAAACUUCUCGAGUUUUCCAAAUGACGAUGUCAUUUCCUUGAUUGCUGCAACCUUGGAAAUGGCAAAAUACUCUUUUCGAUUGUUGGCUAUGAGGUUCCAAGUAGCAAUCGUUCGAGCGUUGAUAGAAGAAGAGAUCUAGGAUCAAGACGGAAUCGUGGGCACCACUUUCCGAAAAGAGUAUUUCCACCCUUACAAGCCUAGGUAUCAGGAAAUCCCUUACGAGGAUAAGACCAUCUCACUCAAGUUCUUAGGCUUCAGAUACUUGAUUCACUCUCAGAAUUCGUAGGCAAGGAUAGAUGUUGUUUUCUGUGUAUCUUCUGCACACUUAUUGCCUCCUUUAUAUAGGCAAGGGGUCAAGGACGAAUAGGUGUGAGUAUCUAGCACCAAAAGGUGCCACUAUCCCCAAGGAUAGACUUGUAGGCAACAACCAAUAAGUUCCCUACGGGUUUUGGAGGGGAAACAAUUCAAACGGUUUUGGAGGGAGAAUAACUCAGAAAGAGUUUGAAUCAAACGAAAGGGUGUGUGCCCAUUCAUCCUAGGUGGGAGAGUUAUCACUCCAACUACCUAGCAACCUACCUUCAAUCCAGCUCAGCUUAGUACCGCAGCUAGUGACACUAUCAUCCAGCUCAAGGUUGAGCUGGACGAGCUUCAGUGUCAGUCCCUAGCUUCAUCCAGCUCAUCAAAGAGCUGAUGCUAGCUAGUUUCAGAUAGCUCUUGAGCGAAGGUGAGGUUUCCCGUCAACUCACAUAUCCGUCUUAUCUUUGGUAUCACACCAAGGUCAAGUCCAUAGUGCAUAUUUUCAACAACUCUUGCUUCAUUUCUUGAAGAAAGGUGAGUUGUUCCUUCAGAACAUGGUGGGCACCAUGCUCCUUCUUCUCCCAAUGAGCGAGCCCAUAACGCCAAAAGAGGUGGAAGAAAUGAGCUAUCGGAUCCAAGAUAUGCAUGUAGGAAGAUUCGACUGUUUUGAAACAUUGAUUAGGCUCCCGAGUGACUUCCUUCCAUAAGGUAUUGGCCUCAAUGUAUAUCGUAUCUAGGUCAUCUCUGACUGCGCAUAGUCGAGACAAUGAGUGGAGGUCUUUGGUGAAACCCAAAGACUAAGCAAAGGUCUCACGAUAUGGCCUUCCAGCAAGGCGGUAGCUGAUGCAAUUUUGACUGCAUUCUUCCUUCCUUAGAAUGUUCACCGGUGUAGAGGUAGAACUGACUAGAGUGGUUGAGUAGGUCAAUGAUCCUUUGUGCCCAAGCCGGCUUUUGCGCCUAGAUGCUCUUAAUGUCCGCGAUCACGUUUGGGCGGAGGCUAACGUACGGUGCUCCCACUAUCGAAUCCAUUAUCGUGGAUACAAUGAUCGGAGGUACACCGUGACUCUCUACACAAUGUCUGGUUGGGAACUUGCUCAAUGGGUGCCACUGGUUCCUUUCCUAUGGCAAAGACUCGAAGGAAUCAAGGAAAUACGGCAAAAAUCGAAGGGCGACAAAAACUAGGCGAAAGCGAAUCUAGCUUGCUCAAAAUUUGAUGCAAGAUAAAGUUCCCGCGAGGGUAACGAAGGUUGUGUGGGGAGGUGGGUUGGUUUAGCUUGGAGGUGAGGGAGUUGCAGAGGAGGGUUUGAAAAUCUGAGAAGGGGGAUCGAUAAUUUGUAAUUAAUGUCAAAAUAUGUGUUCAAGAGUAGUCGAAAUAUGGGCCACACAUUUUGUCAUUCGACAACGCAUAUUAGCGCAUAAAUGAGUUAGUCGGUUUGGCCGAUUUUCUCGAAAUCAACACCGAAGUACUGUCAAGAUGUUUGACACAUAGUUCAAUAUCCUUCAACGCAUAUUGCCCCAUAAAUUAUGAAAUUCAUUUUCAAUGAUUUUUGGACAUUAAUUUGCCUAAAACCAGACUAACCUUAAAGACUAAUCAAUUAGGGACUUCGAAUCUCGACUCGAUACUAACAAUCAAGUAGACUGCAUUUAAAAUUGAAAAAUUAAACUACUCUAGACAUGGGUCCCUCCCAUGAAGUACUAUUUAUUUAAUGUAUUUAAGAUAGACAAUACAUGACAAAUGACACUAUAAUAUCAAAGUAGUGAACUUCAACUCCUCCAGGUGACUCUAAUGUAAGGUACCUAUUUAGAUGAUGCCCAAUUACCUUGAGGCCUUUUCUUUGUAGGUGAAAAUAAUGGGAUAUUUUAGGGGAUUUGGAUCCUAAAAUCUAUAAGUUAGAUAAUUGAAUUCUUGGCAUGGGCCCUUAUAGAUUUUGAGUUCAUAUUGAAAUCACUAGUUUGGGGAAGGGAUUUUAGGAGAACUCAUAUAAUUUCAUUUCAUUUUGAAUUCUCUAUUCCCAACAAUCACCUAAAAUGACACAUCAAAAUAUUCUAUUUCUCAAAAUAGCAUGACCCUCAUAUUCCCUAGCUAUUUGAAUUCUCUUCCUACGAAUUCAUCUGCACAAACGACCUUUGAAUGUUUCGUGUUCUGGGUUAGUGGAUUUGACGGUCCCAUACGGGACAGGUUCUGUAACUGUAUACAAACCUGUCCAUCUAAAUUGUAGCUUUUUGGGGAAGAGUCGGAGGCGAGAUUUGUACAGCAGCACCUUGUCACCUUUAUAAAAAAUUUGUGUUCCUCUAUGUCUCGCAUCAUGGAGGCACUUAGUUUCCCCCUUGUAUAAGUCUGCACUGAAAUGCUUGAAAGGGCGUUGGAUGAACUUCCCCACCGUUCUUGCAUUAUUAGUGGGCCGCUUGCGCUUCUGCCCACUUAGACACGUAAUCCACAACAACAAAAAUAUACUUAUUACCGUGGAAAAGAGGAAAAUGUCCCAUAUAAAAUGGAUACUCCACACAUCAAAGAAUUCUACCGGAAAUGAUAUAGUUUGAGGCAUCUCGUUCCAAUUACAUAUAUUUCCUGUGUGUUGGCAUCUAUAACACCUUCUAACGAAAUCAUUGUGAUCUUGAAAAAUAGAAGUCCAAUAAAAAUUGGAAUCAAUUACCUUUCGUGUAAUGCAAUUGCCAUUAUGAUAUCCACUGACAUAAAUCUUCAAAACUCUCGAUAGCUUUCUCAAAGAGGUUAUGAACACGGACAUGAACUUAUAAGUGAUAAGGCGCUCUUCUUUUACCGACAUCGUCAAUCCAUUGAUCUUCUUACCGACAUCGUCAAUCCAUUGAUCUUCUCUGGAACUCAUUUAAUACACUAAUCUCGAUGGUGGCCGAUCAAUUGAAUUUAUCUGAGGAAGAAAUUAGAAAUGAAAAUGGCGGAAUGAAGAAGAUGAGCAGAGCACUCCUCUUCUUUCCCUCACGCGGAGUAACAAUUGAAGAUAAGAAAUAGAUUUCUUAUUUCAAGUGUGGGCCUAAAUAUAAACUAAAUCGUAAUGCUUUAAUUAGUUUAAAGUUCAGAUUUUAGCCCAAUUGUUUAGUUUUACGAAAUUGUUUUGGUAAGAAUUUAGUUUUAUGAAAUAUGAAUACAAAAAUUUGAACACUGUUUUAAUGGGUUCGGAAACUCAGCUUAUUUCACACCUGAGAAAUGAUAUCUCGAAAGUUAUCAUAUUAUCAUAAAUAAAAACGUAGUGAUAACAAAUUUGGGAAACUAUCAUACUUCCGACUUUGCGAGAACAAGAAUUGUGAUACACGUUGUUACUCACCAACAAUUUUAUUGACUAACUCAAAGCACUUUACUCACACUUUCUUCUCUUAAUCACAACCUAUCAACGAUGAUAGUGACCAUCGACUAACUCUUUGAACAAUGUAAGUAAGGGAACAGUGGAUUUAAUUGUAGACUUAGUUGGGCUUCCACGAUGUGGGGAGUGACAAUUAGUGCAAUUCAUGAGUUUGAUGAUGAACUCUAGUUAUGCAAAUGCUUAAGCAAACUCAAGGUGAACCGAGUUCAAAAAUUGGGAAGGUGGGAUUUUAAACGUAGAAUGAUCUUGGCUGAUGGAUGGAUCUGUAAUGCUGGGAGGUCGUCAUCAAAUCUAGAUAAAGGCAUUAUGUGGGUUCGGAUUUCUGGUAUUCCAAUUCAUCUUUGAUCCCGCAAUUUGUAAACUCAGCAACUAUUAGGGAGAUUUCCUCGCAGUGAAAGAAGAGGGGAUGUCUAUGAAUUGAGUACGAACCAAAGUUAAGUUAGUAGGAGUGUCGCUGGAGGAAGUUCCACUAUGCUACAACAACUAUGUAUAUCCGAUAAAAGUCUCUAUUGAUUCUUCACGAUCGACGAUGAGUAUGGAAACCUCCUGUUCUAGUCAUAAUUUUCAACGUCUUGAUUAUGCAGCUAUGGUGCAAGGUACUUCUAGACAAAUCAAUCAAUGCUUGGAAAAUAAUGGGGGCAAAUGAAGUAGUGGAAGCUAUCAGAUCUGACAAUGGAGAUUCAAGAAAGAUAGUCUUUCAAUGCUAGAAGAAGUUCAUGGGAGAGAAUUCAAUCAUGAGGCAAAAUAACAUGGAUCAUUUUAGAAGGAGUGAUGGCGACACAUAAUGGAAUUAAGGACCGGUUAGUAACAACAAACCGGGUUGUUGAAUUGAGUAUGAAAUGUGGGUCGGGCUUUGAGAUUGUUCCAGAUGAAACAAGGCCAGCUAAUACUAAUAAAAUGAAAAUAGUGCCUGACCCAUUAGAAUGGUGUGGGAUGAAUUGGAGGGUUUAAGAAAAGACACAAACGUCUUGUCUUUUAAGAAAGACAGAAAUAUUUUGUGUUUGGAUGAACAUGGACUUGCUGAAUUGCAAGGAAAUAUUCAGAUUAACCCGGGUAAAAAAGAUGGUGAUCAACACCAUUCAAGAAAUAAUUGACGACGAAGUCGACCAAAGUUAGAAAGGGAAUUGCGGAAAAUUGAAAUCAAUAAUGGGCUGCCGGCCAGGAUAGGAGUUAGUAUAUCCAACGUCUUGUUUUUAUAACCUGAUUUUACUUGUUUACAAGAGACAAAGUGGAGUGUUUGUACGGAUGAAGAUAAUUUCUUCUUAUGUCAAAGUCGAGAAAAUGAAUUGGUUUGAAUGCAGAGGGUGCUUUUGGGGCUUUACUUGUGGUUUGGAAUAAAACACAAUUUUCUAUUGUAAGCCAAUGGGUAGGGAAUUAUUUGAUAGCUGUAGCUGUUGAAGCUGUGGAAGACGGGUUAGAAUGGAUGUUGGUUAACGAAUAUGGACCAUGCCAAAAUCAGCUAAAAGACGAAUUCUUGGUGGAACUUCACAAUAUUAUUCAGUGGUGGAAGAGUUCUGGUCUGUCUCGUGGGAGAUUCCAGUCUCAUAAGAUGUCAGGAUGAGGUUAUGGGAGGAAAUCAGAGUCGAGCAAAUAUGGUCUUAUUUAAUCAUUUCAUUACAGAGAAUGUCUUGUUAGAUCUUCCUUUGAUAGGGGCAACUUUUACUUGGUUCAACUUUCGGACAGCUCAACCUCUUUCUCCACUUGAUAGAGCUUUAGUGUUGGUUGAGUGGGAAUUUAUAGUUCCAGAUUGCUCUUUGAUAGCAUAUUCUCGAGUUUGGUCUCAUUAUCGUUUUUUGAUGGUUGAGACAGGUUUAAAUGAAAUCUUUAGAUAUCUUUAGAAAUUUGAGAUUAUGUGGAUGAAGCAUGUUGAUUUUCGGACUUUUUAGAAAAUUUGUGGUCAGCCCAUGUGCAAGGAAAUGUGGAUUUGUUCAAGUUAGCCAAAAAGUGAGCUUUUGAAAGAAAGCUUAAAAACUUGGAAUUUUGAGGUUUCCAAAUAUCUGGAUAGAGAAAUUGCAAGGAUUUCAACCUUUGAUCUUCUUGAAGAGAGUGGACGUUUGAGUGAUGAUCAUAGAAUCCAAAGAGAUAGUUGGUGGCAAAUUUAAAUGUGAACUGGACAAUUUAUGGAAAAGGAAAGAAAUUAGUUGGUGCAAAAAUUAAUAAAAAUUUGAAUUAUCGAUGGGAAUAGAAAUAUCAACUUCUUUCACAAAGUUGCUACCAUCUAUAUAGUCAUUUACACCGCCAUGUCACAUGUACACGUUAACGGACAAAAUCGACAGCACUGAUAAAAUUUUCAUACUUUACGAUAUAUUGUGAUAUAGAAAGUAAUGCAAAUAGGUUGUGUAUAUUUGGGUAAUAAGCUAAAAGUUUGUGACGUUCUAAAGAUUUUUACCUUGGAAAAUUAAAAAUAAUUAAUUAUUAUAUAAAUAGAAACAUCUCAUUACAAAAAAGUUAAUAGAAAAUUAAUUUAUCGGAUUGGGUUCUGCUUAUAUUUCAAUAUAUAUACCCUAUAUGUGCUUGCACAUAACAAUUUUUUCCCAUACCCUAAAAAUAUAUGAUCAACUCGGGUUUACCAUUUUUUACUGGAUCAGUUUAUGCGAAAUACCCGUAUUAGUGGUUAUGAUUGUCAUCUAACAAAUCAAAUUGAAUAUUAACUAAACCUAUAUAUAUUAUUUGUUGAGGGUCUUUCUCAGUAUUGUAUAUAACAUCGGUUUUGAAGUAACGUAUGUGUAUGCAGUAUAUAUAGAAAGCGGAUACAAUCUACUUCAACGAUGCAUUUCAAUUAGUAGUGGAAAUUCCGGUCUGGCUUAUCCCGACUCGGGCCUGUCAAACCGGACUUCGGGUACCCAAAAUACUAUAUUAAAUAUAGUGUCUCGUAUUUUCUUUAUCAAUGACGGGUGAAAAAACACGUAAUACAAAUCAACUAACGGAUAAGCGGCAUCGUGCGCUCCUGAAACCUAAUAAGAGUAAUUGCCAAUGUUGCGGUAGAUAUAGGAGAAUACAAAGGGGAGCUGAGGGUGAGCCACCACUCAUGGCAAUUUCGUCGUAAGAUAUUUCAUAAAUACCCAUAAGAUUAAUUGUCAUAGUUGUUGUAGACAUGGGCGGAUACAGGGGGAGUCGGGGUUAGCCACGACUUAGGGUAAUUUUGGCUUUGAACAGUAAAUUCAAAUAUAUAUUUACAGUUUAAACUCAGCUUAGUGUUAUAUUGUUUUAACUUAGUACUCAAAUCUCGAUAUAUAUCAAUCAAAAUUUCGGCACAGUAUUUGGUAUAUAUCAUUACUAAUUUCGAAUUUAAAACCAAGAACGAUAAUACUUUUUAUGUAACAGUAAUUCAAACCCAAAUAUAAAUUCUUAUAAUAAUUUAAGCCCAAAUGAAUACCAAAUAAAAUAAGCUAAUAAGUAAUAAAAUUACUUAAGUCCAAAUGUCCGAAGUGGCUGGCAAAUUACCAAUGUAAAAACUCAAAAGUUAAUGACAAUCCCGAAAUUAAAAAAAAUAGGUCUAAUUGCUUCUGUUCUCCGAUUGUGUCGGCGAACGGAGGAGUUGACGCCAAUCCUCCCUCUCCCACUGGCCGCUAUGAGUAAUGAGCUUGUGUAAUUGUGUUGUGUUGUCAAUCACUAUUUGAAAUUAAAAUUUUAUGUUGUGUUGCCUUAUUGAUUUUUUAAUUACUUUUGAAUUCCCAGAAUAAUUACAUCUACCUCAUUUUUUUAGAGAUUAUGACACCUCUUUUUUGUCAUAACUGUUAGAUAUUUUUGUUAAUUAUUUACAAAUUUAGAAUAGACAUUAAAUAGGUACUUGAAUUGAACAAUGACUUUUCUUAUUAAUUUCUUUUUAAAAGCGAUCACAUCUCACAAAAUGAUUUUUUCCAUGAUUUCAAUAGGGUUUUUAUUUCUUUAGUGUUUAAUUACAAGUUUUCUAAUUAUUCGUGAUUUGUAAUUAUCCUUUUCCAUAUUUUGGUUCAUGUCUAAGGUAGUUUCGUUUGUUUAAUUAUUUUUUUUAAUUUUUAUUUUGUUUGUGAGUCUUUCUUUCAAACGCAAACUACAAUUAUCUACAAAGAAGGCUGAUUGGCCAUUGUUGGUGGGGUUGUAGGGGGCGAUUUAGUGAUCCUGGAGGUGGUGUUUAGCAACUUUUUGUUUCUAACUACAUUUUCAGGUACAUUAUAUUUCAAAACAAUCGAUCUCCAACCAGUAUCAAUUUUAUUCUUUAACUAAACUUUAAGCAUAAAUUAGCAACACGUGUAUUACUAAUUUAUUUGACCACCCAUGUUUCUGCCUUAGAUGGUAUAUACAAACUGAUAUCCAUCAAUAUUAAAAUAAUAAUUUCAAUUAACCUGUUAGAGUUUGGAAUAGUUGGAACAAAGUGGUAAACUAAAAAAAAGAACGACAUAAAUUUAUUGUUAAAAUUUAGAACCUAUUAUGUCACAAUAUAAAAAUACAACAUGUAACCAAAAUUAUUAUUCGGAACAACAUGGAAAAUUAUGAAUAAACGUAAUCUGGUACAGUCCUUUGGGGAGAUGUAGUUGCAGCUUCUGAUUUCUUGACGGAGGUGAUUGUUUUCCAAAACGAUUGUGUGUCAUUUGGGAAUAGCGACAUGUCUAAACGGCCUAAUCGACAGCGGAUGCCGAUGAGGGUGGAUCGAAAGUCAGCGACGAUCAAUAAACAAUGGUAAAAAGGAAAGUACCAGACAACUUAUGGAUAGGCGUCGGUCCGCACCACCGUUUCUUGAAGGCAUCAUAUACAUAUAUGCUCCUUCAAUAGUCACCGCCAAAUCAUUCUCAUUAUGUUAUCAUAAAUACCAAGUACAUCAUAAUGGCACUGAUAGGCCAAAAUAGGAUCAGAAAUAGGAUAAGAUGUAAACACCAAGGGCAAUCUCAUGCCCAAUGCCAGCAAGAUAGUCAGUUGCAUGAUUGCCUUCAUGAUAAGUAUGUAUGAACUCGAGCUCCCAUGCCCUCCUCAUCAACUAUCACAAAAGCAGAUUGCUUGUGCGCCACAUUUUUGGGUUAACUAUCGGGUUCUGAGUUUGGUUUUGGGCUUUGGAAGUGGUCUAGUCGGGUGGACGAUCACGGGCGUCGGUAUGAGUCUAUCAUUGACGUGGUUGUAAGGGUAGUUGCAGUCGUUGUCGGUAGUACGUCAUGGUCAUGACCAUCAAUGCAUCACAGGCGUGAUGGCAUGUUAAUCAUGAGUGUGAUGGUAAGUUCAUCAGAGGCGUGGUGGACAAUAGGAUUAGAAAUAGGAUAAGAUGUAAACACCAAGGGCAAUCUCAUACCCAAUGCCAACAAGAUAGUCAGUUGCAUGAUUGCCUUCAUGAUAAGUAUGUAUGAACUCGAGCUCCCAUGCCCUCCUCAUCAACUAUCACAAAAGCAGAUUGCUUGUGCGCCACAUUUUUGGGUUAACUAUCGGGUUCUGAGUUUGGUUCUGGGCUUUGGAAGUGGUCUAGUCGGGUGGACGAUCACGGGCGCCGGUAUGAGUCUAUCAUUGACGUUGUUGUAAGGGCAGUUGCGGUCAUGGUCGGUAGUACGUCAUGGUCAUGACCAUCAAUGCAUCACAAGCGUGAUGGCAUGUUAAUCACGAGAGUGAUGGUAAGUUCAUCACAUGCGUGGUGGACAAUAGGAUCAGAAAUAGGAUAAGAUGUAAACACCAAGGGCAAUCUCAUGCCCAAUGCCAGCAAGAUAGCCAGUUGCAUAAUUGCUUUCAUGAUAAGUAUGUAUGAACUCGAGCUCCCACGCCCUCCUCAUCAACUAUCACAAAAGCAGAUUUCUUGUGCGCCCCAUUUUUGGGUUAACUAUCGGGUUCUGAGUUUGGUUCUGGGCUUUGGAAGUGGUCUAGUCGGGUGAACAGUUUAUAAAAGCCAUUCCAUGACCUAAGAGCUCAGAAUUACAGAAACCAAAAUUUAACUCCUCUCAUUCUAACAAAUGGUGAUCUCAAUCUCAGGUAGGGCGCGAUAGAAGGUGGUGCUGAUUGAUCUCCUAUCGUUGCUAGAGGCUUGAAGAGGCCAGGAGAUUCUUUCAACAAUAACCAAUCUCCUUUUUCUCUCUUAAUCCUUAAAUUAGAAAGCUACAUAGGUGGGGUUUAUGCUUACUUUCUUCUUUAAAAGUGUUAAACUAUAAUAGGAUAGUUUGGGUUCUCCUUUGAAAUGAUUUCCGCUGAGCUGAACGAUGUGGUGGAACGAGGGCUCUACGGCUAUACAGUAGCAUGCGCUCUACUCUACAAAAGUUGAAUUGAAUGUUCAUCUUAAAUUGUGGUUAUCGAUUGAUCGUCCAGGCCCAGCAAAAAUUAUAUUUUAUUAUUUUUCUAAUUGUCCGGGUCUCGUCAAACGUUUCGAUAGGUUACUAAGACAGACCGAGAUAGUUGAACUCGAGUGCCUAAAAUGGAGAUAGGGAUGAUGGAAUUAGACCCGAGAAUUUAAGUAUAAUUUUAGCUAAAUUUUGGAUGAGUUUAAGAAACUAGGUACUUAUUCCGAUCUAAUUCUCUCAUUUGAAUUUAAUUCAGUUUAGGAAAUAUCGAGUUUGAUUAGCCAAAUCACCUAGACCGCUCAUAAAUACUUAAGGAGGAAAAUCUUGAUUAAAUUAUGAUCCAACUAAGUCAAUUUCUGGAUAGAUUUCGAUUAAAUCAACUCGAUUUAGGUGUCAUUCAAUGUAGAAAUACGAUUUUACCCCUGUGCAUUUUUGGGUAGGCUGACCAGUCAACCUUGGGUUCGUUCAGGACCGAAUCGGUCUAGUCAGAUGGCAGGCCGGAUAGUCCGAAUUUUAGGAUCUAUUUAGGGACCUAUGACGUAUUUUAAAUAUGAUUCUUCGGAGAUAAGGAUGUUUCUCGAUGUAUCAAAUUCUAACGAAAUCCAUAAUCUUAUUUUCGGAAGACUUAGAGGAUGUAGGAUUUUAUCAAAUUGAAUUUAAUUCAAAUUGCAAUAUAAAGGGGUAACCAGUUCGGUGUUAGCCGAACCGGUUCAAGGUCAGACGAACCACGCUCGACUCGGCUCGCUAAUGACAUACCGGGCUAGGUCCGUCCCGCUUGAGACAAGCCCUAAGCCUAGUGUAAAGUGAGAACCGGCCUAUAAAAGAACAAAACGGAUAAGGUUAGUGAGGUAAUUUUACUAUUCAAUUGUCCCAAAAAUUUAGCUAUAAAAGGGAAUAGUCUUAGGGAUAUUAGGAGUAGAUAGGAGGCAUUCUGAAAAAAUUUACAUAGAGUUGUAGUUAGUAAAUCAGCAAAAAAUCCCAAAGUUACUGAAAAUAAUAAAAAAAAGACAUGAAAGAGUGACAAAAUUAGUUACUAAUCCAAACUCUCCCUCAAACCUCACCACUCACCAUCAGUCUCGGUCUCACCCGAAUCAGACACCCUACUCCUGAAAUCAGUCAAACCUCAUCCUCACCCUUCAAUCCCACCCUUACCACUCUCGAGACCCAACACGACACUCGAUUAUAUUUAAAUCCACCAAAGUCCCCAACAUAAGUCUCACCAUUUCAUUCUAGGAGCACUCAUCAUCGCACUACCUCGCAAGGAAAAAGGAGUCACCCAUUAAUGUCCGUCCGAAACACUAACGCACAUAUCAAAUGUGGCAAGACCUCUGGUUGAUUAGACCACCAUCUUCUUUUUUCUAUUCAAAAUCCACCAAACCCCAGAUCCAGGAAGCCCAUCUCAUCUCCGAGAAAUCAACUGUCCUCCGUAGGCCCAAAGAUUUCCUGUCAAUAGUAACUAGGACGAAGAGAGACGGGAAUUAGAAAUCAGGUGUAGGUUUAAAACCGAGAAAAAUCAAAGGGAUAUAGAUAGAUUUACCUAAGCCUCUAAUGAUCGAGCUGCUGUUGGUAACGCACCAAGGAAAUCUUCCUGGGUUGUGGGCCUCAAGGGGGCGUCGAGAAGAGGUAAAACAUGAGUUAAGCAUCAGGGACAUACCGUUGCUAAGAAUGGGUCUGAUUAACUACUCCAAUGUCCUCGGCCUUGGAGAGUAAGAGUGGCUGAGCAUUGAACCCCAUGAACCGUCAAGAUCCGGAGAAGAAAAGGCAACGUCUCCUCUGGUCGAUCAAGUACUAAUCGGAGUAGUCCUUGGGGCCUUCGGAUUGAGGGCAGAGGGAGAUUUCCGAGGAGAAGUGGCGGUGACCUAGGUGUAGAUCGAGAUGAAGGAGAUAAGGUUUUGAGAUAGUGUCGAUGGUUGAGAAAUAGGGAGAGAGGAAGCAAAAUAACCCUAAGGGUUAUUGACUUAUCGAACGACAUUUGGGGCGAAUCUGUGUUUCGUCUAAUAAAUCACCAAAUAAACCAUAAAAACCAUAAAAAUUAUAAAAAAAAAUUCUUUAUGAUUAUUUCAGAAUUGGUUAAUUCCCAAAAAUUGACCAUUCUAAAUAAUCAUCGAGAAAACCAAAACAUUGUUCUUAAUCCCCUUAAUCCCUCUACAACCCUAAAAAAUUAUCUAAAAUAAUAAGUAAACAAAAAUCCCAAAAUCUUUUUUAAUAAAAGACACGUGAUAGUUAAAUAUUGCCUAAUCAUAACGGGUAGUUUGGGUAUAUGAUUUGAAAUACAAGAGAUUUGAAAUACAAGUGAUUUGAAUGAAACUUGCUAUUUUCAAAAUAGAUCGCUUGGAUGGCUGAUUUAAUUUUUGUCGGAUUUCAGGAAUGAUUCGAACCAUCCAAACUUAUUAUUGUAGAGAAAGAAAAAUAAAACAACAAUAAAAAAUAAAAAUAUUAAAAUGUCUCCCAUUUAUUUAUGGUCAUAUUAAUUACCAAAAGAAAUAAGGGUAAUUUUGGUUAAAAUUCUCAAAUCUCCCCUCUCUGCUCUGAAUUCUUUACCUCUCCUAGGCGAUUUGAAAUCACUCACUAAAUUCUCUCUGGGCCCACAAGGUGAUUUCAAAUCUUUCCAAAUCUCUUCUCUUUUUUUGGGUCCUAAACGGGAGACAAAAUAUCUUUGAAAGUCCAAACACCCCAAAUCACCCAUCAAAAUUACCUACCCAAAUUAUCCAAAAGUCUUUUGGGGGAUUCCUAAUUCUUUGAGUUAGCUAUUCUGAAUAAUCGUUAAAACUUCAACUUUCUAUCAGGACUUUUUCCCCUAUUAGAACAAUUCCUAUAAAAAUCUUAAAUAAAAUAAUGAUAAUACAUAAUUAAAUCACUAAAUAAAUUUUUGUUAGUAUAAUUACUUCGAAUAGGCUAAGUUCCACGACUUGGCUGUCCUUAGUAAUUAUUCAAACCACUAAAUAAUUUCUCAAAAUAGAAUAAGUUUAGGAAAAGCCCGACGUAUCCCUUCAUGGACCUCAGCCAUAGCACGCAAACCCUCCUUACCCCAUGCAUUUCAACAACAAACCAUUAGUCCUCUUUUUGAAUAAAACAUCAUCUAGUAAGAUAUAAGUCCUUGCCUUAAACUUUGUGUUUCAGUCAACAUUACUGCUUGGAUUCUUCAAGUACGCUACUAAAAGGGUAUGCCAAUCUUUGGCACCUUCCUCAUCUAUGUUGAACACUUCAACAUCAUGUUUUAAAAAUUCAUAUAAUGGGCUAAUUGAUUUAACAGAAAUUUGCUCUCCUAUAACAUGGGAAAACUCUCUAAAGCCAGAGACUAGCUAUGCUAAGUAAUUGGACUUGCCAAUAUCCUGGCGAGGCACAUACCUAAUAGAGGAUUUAUCAAAGUGAGAUAUCAAAAUCUGAACAUAGUUGAGGUACGUCUCUAACACAUAGUUAAUACAUUUGAAUUCACCAAGCACCUGGUAAACCACUAGUUGAGAGUCCCCCUUAAUAUUAACAUUUAUAACCUUUAGAUCCACAAGUAUCUCCAUCCUAACUACCAAUGCCUCAUAUACAGCCGGGUUGUUAGUGCAUGGAAAAUCAAGGGUGAAAGCAAAAUGUAAAACAUAUCCAAAUGGUGAAGUGAGGACUACCCCAACACCUGCCCCAUCUCGUGUUUUUGAGCCAUCAAAAUAUAAGGACCAUGGUGCUUCCUCCAUCAUCCCUACCUCUGCUGGCUCUAGUGGUACAUCCAUAUAGGGGUGAUCCGCCAAGAAAUCAACUAAAACUUGGCCUUAAUGGCCUUCUGGGCAUAUAUUGUAAAUAAAACUCAGAUAGACCAAGUAUCCAUUUACCAAUUCUCCCAUGGAUUAUUGCUCAGGACAACAUGCAUCAAGCAGUACCUUAGUUUUGUACUUGAGAAAUAUAAAGCCAAACACAACUUUUCUAUGUGGGAAUACCUUAGCUCAACCCUAUUUAACAAUCUACUUAAGUAAUAAACAACCUGUUCAUGGCCCGAGUUAUUGUCUUUAGCCAACAAACAUGCUAUCGAGGUGUCAGUGGUAGAGAGAUACAAUUUAAAAGGCCGAUGUGGGAUUGGAGAAUUAAGUACUAUCGAGCUUGCCGAGUACUUCUUGAUGUUAUCCAAAGCUUGUCAGUGCUCCUGAUGCCAUAAAAACUCCUCUUCACUCUUUUAACUUCAACAAAGGUGAGAACACUUGGGUUCGGCCGGCACAAUUUGAAAUGAAGUGUCGAAUGUAAUAAACCUGGCCAGCUCCUUCUUAUUAUUCGGUGGCAUGGCUUCUAUUAUGGCCUUAGUUUUACUUUGGUCAACCUUAAUGUCACGUUAGUUUUCAUGGAAACCUAAAAAGUUAUUUUCAGAUACACCAAAGGCACACUUAAGUGGGUUCAAUCUCAAAUUGUGGACCCUCAUUCGUAAGAAAGCCAUACGCAAAUGAGAGAGAUGAUCAUCAGUCACCUUGGACUUGACUAUAAUAUCAUCCACAUAUACUUCCCCCAACUCACCAAUCAAGUCAUGAAAGAUAGUAUUCAUGGCUCUUUGGUAAGUGGCACCUGCAUUCUUCAAGCCAAACGGCAUGACCACCCAUUCAUAGCACCCUAUAGCCCUUGAACACCGGAACACAGUCUUGUAGAUGUCUUCAUCAUCUAAAUGAAUUUGAUUAUCGCCUGAGCAACAAUGCAUAAAAGAGAAAAUUUUAUGCCUAGUCAUAACAUCAAGCAACAUGUCAGGUACUAGCAUAGGGUAUUCAUCCUUAGUAGUGGCCAGAUUUAAAUUUCUAAAAUCUAGACACACACUUAGCAUGUCAUUUUUCUUCCUAACUGACACCAUGGUAGAUAACCAUUCUACAUACCUAGCUAGCCUUAUAAACUUAACCUUUAACAAGCAUUCAAUUUCCUUUUCAUCUCUGGUAAGACCUCAUAAGCAAAACAUCUAGGUGACUAUUUAAAUGGUGUAAAUCCAUAAGUUAUUGGCAACCUAUGAUCUAUGGACUUUCUAUCUAAACCAGUCAUUUCAUGAUAAUCCAAAGCAAAACAAUCUUUAAACUCUUUCAGCAAAUUAAUCAAACCAGUAAACCUAUCAGCUUCUAAACCAUGGCACUUAUGAAGGUAUGACAUGGGUCAUCCUCAAUGCCAAGGUUAAUAUCCUCUAAUGCAUCACGAGGUUCCAUAUGGUUUUUGGCUUCUUCAGCAAUAACAUCCUCACCUUCUUCAGGUAAGUCAUCAUCAGGUACAUAGUGGGCCAUCAACACUGGCUCUUCUUGAAAUAGCCUUUGCUCACAUUGAUAGAUGGCCAACCUCUCAAUCAAGGAGGUAAUUUCGGCCUUGCUUUCCACCUUCUUUUGGGGUGGCUUAUUCAUCAUCAACACUCUUCUCAAGCUCAUGCGGACCAUCUAAAGAUGACAUUGAUUGUCUCACAAUCUCCGACAAGGGUUCCAACCAAGCCUUGCUCAAUACCUUAGUGCUAGAAAUUACCACGAUGCAUUCCCCCGUCCAUUCUCCUAAUCACCAAAGGUCCAAAUUCUCCAUCUUAUAAUGGAGCUUCGGCUACAUUUUUUGCACCAACAAUAAAAGGUCUAGUAUCUGCUUGGACCACUUCCACUGUGCCCCCCUUAUUCCGAAACAUCAAGCAUUAAUGCAAGGAAGAUGGGACUGACUUAAUAGCAUGGAUCUAGUCCCUUCCUAACAAAGCGUUAUAGCUCAUUGCUCCAUCUACCACAAAGAAAGUAGACAUAUUCUCCUGGCUGUCAACUCACACUAUGACUAGGAGAAUUCCUCUGGCUGAAGUUGAUCCCCCAUUGAAGCUUGUGAAAAAAAACGUCAGUGGGAACCAAGUGAGUAAUGUUCUUUCCAAGUUUCCUCAACAUUCUUGUCGGCAAAAUUGACGGUAGCGCCAUUACCAACAAAGAUUUUAGACAUCGGGACACCAUCCAUCCUAACCUUGAUAUAUAAAUGCCUUAAAUGCCUUAACAUACUUGGCUCAUGCUCUUCGAAGACCACUACGUGGUCUAGCUCAACAGUGGCAUCCCUCAAAACAAAAGGCAUGACUUCUUUUACCCUUUAAAGCGGUCAAUGUCAUUGCAGCCUCUUCUUCUGCCAUGCCCUCUUCUUUGGUCAAAUAAUGACCCAACUCUUCAUCAAACUCGAGAUCCCAAGUAGAACUCUCAACUGGAAUGGAUAAUGAUUCUCCAGAGCCUUGGUAUAACACGUAGUAAGGAAACCUACCAUGAUCCUCUCCGAGUAAACCCACACUUCUAUGUCCUGCCUCAUGAAGUUCCCUUAAGAUUUGUUGAGAACUCUUGCCUUGUUUUGCCACCUAAGCGGCUAGAUCAAUACAAACCCCUAAAUGAGUCAUCCUAGUACUCGAAGGCUUGUCACUAGUCUCUAAACUCGCAAAAGCUUCUACCCACUCAUCACUCAAUUCAUCUUCAUUUCCCACCGAAUCUUCACUUUCCAUACUGCCUCUUGAUCUUCCUCAAAGAACUAGAAAACCAUGGGCCAUAUGUCCUAAAGCGAAUAGUUGUAGUAGCCCCUUGGUCAUCCUCAUCUUCAUCCCUCUUAUCCCUAUUAAAUUUAGGAUUAGGGUUCUCAUCCUUUAGCAAAUCUUCUUGGAUGUAGUCUUCUAUCACUGCAUCAUAGCCCUCACUUUGUUCCAAAAGACUAUCCAUGAAAUGAUCAUCUGCUCCUUCUAAGCGAACAUCUAACAAAUUUUCACCCAACCCUUCUUGGACUACAUUAUCAUUCUGGGCCUGGACAUGUUUGCCCAUAUCUAACAUUGUCACCUUGAGGCCAGUGGACAUGGAGUUGUCGACUUUGAUGUUUGUUUGAGGGUCAUCAUUUCUUCUUGAUGUCCCCACCACCUUGCCAGAGACCAAAGUGUCAAGGCCUUGGCGCGUCUGGGCAUUUUUACGCAUGAACCUCCUCUUUUGAGUCCUAGUCAUCUCAGCCAUAGCCAUUGGUUGUUGCCUAUUGCUAUCAUAGAUGUGUGAACCCCCUAAUGAUACAUUUUAAACGUCCUUCUCAUGGGAGGGUGACCAUAGCCAUCCCACUGUCUUCGUUGUACCCAAGGUUAUGUUGGCUGCCCUCACGCUGGUUGCUUAACUCCUUCCACAUGACUUUGGUACGAUGGGUAUCUUGGCUUAAAAUAUGGGCCAAGCCUCUGAUGGACUGGUGAGUUAGCUCUUGCCUCAUCCAAGACAAGGCUCCUCUUGCAGCAAAGACACUGUUUGUAUACAUUGCUUAAAACCCCAGAAGUGGUUGGACGAGUCUGCAAACCACUUGAAGAACUACCUUGCUCAAAGGUUUCUUGAGGAGUAGCCUUUGGGAGUGGUGUCGUAUCCUACACCAGCUUGAAACAUGGCAACUCAACCCUAGAGAAAUCCAGGUUGACGAUAUUGAUGCUUAAAACAUUAGGGAAUGGAUCAAUAUCCACCAACAUUGCAUCCUUUUUGGGCUCAGGGAACUUGACCCGCCCCUUCUCAGUGGCAUCCUGUAGUACAUUACAAAAAACCGCACAAUUAUCAGUGGAAUGUGACAUGCUAUUAUGCCAUUUACAAUAUUUUGUCCUUUUUUGCUUUUAUGGGGUGGGAUGUUAUGCCCCUAGUCAACUUGACUUAGCCAUCUUUGUAAAGUUGGUCAAAAAUCAAGUCAGCCUUAGAAACAUCAAAAGAAUAUUUUUGUGGCUAGAUACAUGCACGGUUGGGCUUCCCCCCUUAAGGCUCAGGCUCAACCUUGGCCAAAGAAGCACACACGUAUGGCUUCCCAGGGGCUAACUCAGCCCAAUCAACCUCCACCUCUAUUAUUUCUUAACUAAUGUGAUUAACGGGGUAAAUAAAUUGGGGAAAGUAUGGUCCCCUUGAGGUACUUCUCCUAUUCUCCUCUUCCUGGAGGAAGGACUCAUACCACGGCAUAAGACAUGAGUUGAAACAAGUUAGAGAACUCUCUAUCCUGAAACUUCGUCCUUAACUCAAAGCUAAACCCGCCAAUGCCAACUUGACAAACUCUCUCUCUAUCAAGUUAACAAACCAACUGUUACGAGCAUUCUUGAAGUUGGUCAAGAAAUGGUCCACUGACUCACCUGGCUGUUGGUGCAUACAUGUCAAGUCAGCCAUGUAGACCUCAGGCUCAUAUCUGUAGAAUUGAGCAUGAAAGAUGUGCUCCAUGUGUUGUCGGGUUUGUAUAGAAUUAGAUGGAAAGUCUACAUACCAGGAAAAGGCUGAUCUAGUCAACGAGUUGUCAAAAAUUCUUAAUUUCAUGAAAUCCCCAACAUCACCACAUUGGAUAGUGAAACGUCCAACAUGCUCCACGGUGGAUUGGUCACCCAACCCAGUGAAGGUGGAAAAGUUAGGUAACCUGAAUGCCUUUGGGAAUGGGUAAAGCCUAUCUACCCAUUCAGGAUAAGAUUACCGGUACAUAAGUGGCAUGGUGGUCCUAACUUCCAAACCAAACUACUCAGUGAGAAAUAUUAGAGCAUUGGCAUCAUGACCAUGACCCCCUUGAUACCCUCUGACAUGAAUCCCAUGGGGUCACCACGAGGUGGCAGUUCUCCCCUUCCCACAUCAUUAGAACUCUGCACUUGUGUAGUGGUAGGAAUGUCACCCUGAUUCGUACGGUGAAGGGAUGGGUCUUUACUUUGUUGGUUAUUCAUUGGAGGUGAAACAUUCUCUUGCCGUGGUUGGCCACUGUAUCCAUUGGCAUGAGGAAUGUUCAUAUUCCCAUUCAAAUCAUUAAUGGUUGGAUUGACAUCAUCUAAAGAUCGAUUUCUUGUUUGUGCUAAAUUCAUCAAAAUCAUUUUUAUUUUCAUUGACCAACUCAAUGACUUGAUUCAAACAUCUGUCUACCCUAGAAUUUUAUGACUCACCGGGCUCAUUAAGAGAUGUUAACUGAAGAGUUACCUGUUGAUGACUCUGGCCAAGCCCAGCCAGGCAGCCUUGGUUCUCUUCCAUCAGCUUAUAGCCUUAGAACAUCCUCUAUGACCAGCAGCACCGCCAGCCACUUGCUCCUCUUCCACAAAAGGUUGUGGAAGCUCACCUUCCUGAUUCCUUCUCCUUGGUGCCAUCAAAUCAACACAAGGGUCCCACCGAGCGUGCCAAUGUGUUUUGGGUGAGAAAACCUGCGUUGACUCGAAUUGAAUGCACUUGUGACUUCUUUGACCCGAAUUUCUAAACACGGCUCCCAACCUCUUUGAACAAAGUUCAAACGAGGGUGACUUGAUGGGCUUGAUGACUGCCAGUGACUUGGUGAGAGGGUGACUUUAUGACCUCCACUUACUUGUGCCGAUAUUGGACGAUCUGUGAUGAUCAGUAACUUGGACUACCGAUGACUUGGGAUGGUAUCGCAUUAAUUUGGAUGUCUCCCAGUUACUUUGAUGUCCGACAGUGGCUGGGAUGUUUGCUAGUAAUUUAGAUGUCUACCAAUCACUUGGAUAUCUGGUAGUAAUUUAGAUGUCAUUCAAUUUACUUGGAGGUUUGAUAGUAGUUUGGAUAUCCCAAAAGACCGCGUCUAAUUUAAUUUAAUUAAUUCAAUUAAUUUGGCUUUAAUUAAAAUGGUUUAAAAACCUUAAAAUUAGCCGUGUGUUAUGAAUAUUAUAAUUAUUUGUAUGAAUGCUCAUUUGUAACUCCUACCUUUGUAACUCCUAUACAUUGAAUAUGAUAAUGAAUAUCCUAUUUAAGUGUAGUUGUACUAGUGAUGCAUAGGUUAUGAAUUCUAGAGCCUAUAAAUAAUGCUCUCUCUUGUAUCAUUUUUACACCUCAAUAAGAAUGUUUCGCUCCAACCGGUCUCUCGCACUUAUUCUCUCUCUAACAACUCCAAAAUGUCCCUCGAAAAUAUGAUAUCCCGUCUGAAGGGUUGCUAGGGCUUUUUAUAGGCUCCUUAUCCUAAUCCGGGAUGGAAAAGGAUAAAAUAACCCGUCUGGGAUGGAACACGCCGUGUUCCACGGGACACACCUAGGCACACGCCGUGUUCCUUUCCGUGUUCCUCCCCUGUAAGUUUUCGCCCAUUUUUCCUCGUCAGGACACGCCGUGUUCAAUAUGGACAACGUCAUGCAAUUUCAUUAUUGCGCACGAGUGCUGGAUUCUUGAAAGUUUACAAAUAUUUCUAUUUGCUCGAUUCUCUUAUUCUUCUACCUACUUGGAACACGUCGUGUUCCGUGGAGCACGCUUUGGAACACGUCGUGUUCCAUGCAAUGUUCCUCCCCUGUACUCCUAAUCCGUCCGUUUCCACUCCUGCUUAUCCUCAAACACCGUAUAUCGCCUGAAAAUGCAUCAAAACGCACCGAACAACGUAAUACAGCCCCAAAGGGGGAAGGGAACAAACAUGUGCUAGAGAAUCCAGAUUUAAACACUUUUCGACACACAAAAGCCUCAUUUUACAAUUAAAAAGGUGUGUCAAAUAUGCACACAUCAAUAACCGUUGGGUCAUAUUUUAAUUCUUGGGUAUUGAUUUAUCUAUUUAAUUUUAGUAUCAAUUUAUUUAGUUCAUAUAUCAUCUAAUCUAAUUUAUUUAUCAAUACAAUAUGCCUAACAUUUCACAGUUUGUGACUCUUGUAGUUUUUACACGAGUUAUUUUUAAUGGAUAUUGGAUAAUGAUAUCCACUUGGAACAUAAUGGUCUUGACGAAAUCAUUAAAGAUGAUGAUGGAAUAUCUCAUUAAGACAAAGCCCAAACUUUGAUCUUUACUCGUCAUAUAUUAAUGAAUGGCUAUAAUUGAGUACCAUGAGUACCAAGAGACCAGAAUGAUCAAAAGGUCCAAGUUAUAUUAUAUACUAAAGGUCCAAGAGACAACAUAUCCUUAUUUGGAGUGAGUGAUUAUAAUCAUAUGUCCAUAAGGUGACAAUAUAUAGUCUCAUAUGUGAAAACAUCAAUACACUACUGUGGAGGUAAAGACCUAUUAUUUUGAUGAUGAGAAAGAGAGCACAUUUAGCAUAUCAUAUUUCUCUAUGCAUAUAGUUUGAUUUCUUUUAUAUUUCUAGUUGAAUUUUGAAUGAUGAAAAAUCAUCUUUGUCAUAUUUUAUGGUUUCAAAAUUCUUACUAAAAUUUUCUUAAUUUUAUUUUAUAUUUAAAAUGUAUUUCUUUUGUUUUAUCAUUGGAUAUUAUCAUCUUUUGGUUACAUAGAUGGCAUGCACAUUAUUAAGACUCCUAAAGAGUUUCUCAAAGGAAUCAACUAUUUGAUUAGCUAGAGAAUUCGCGAUGAAAGAUGUGGAAGAGCAAAUCUUACCACUAACUUGUAAAUUGUGCAUCUCUCUCGAACAUGAUUCUUGUAUAUCAUCAAUGAUAUACUAAUAAUAUCCAGCAAGUAUUUAUGUGGAUAUAUCAUGGCUAUAAGUGCAUUGUUGGUGGUUAGAUCACUAUAUUGUUGGUGGUAAGAUCACUAUAUGCAUGUCUAUGUCGAGUUCAAUCGAUCUUCAUAAAGUUAUGAAACAACUUGGUGGUUUGUGAAGUAAGCUAAUCAAGCAGUAUCACCAUUCAAAUACAUGAUCUUGCGAUUCAUGCAUGAUAUGUAUUUUACAUAUCUCCACGAGUUCAAAGAGGAAUGCGUCUGAUGUGAUGUGUCUCGGUACCAUUGCACAAAUGCUACGCUUCACCUAAAUUAUUUGCUCGCCAUUCAUUCCACAAAAAUGAUAUAAUAUUAUGUGAUAUUUAUGUACUCUUUUUUCCUUCACUAGGGUGUUUCCCACAAGGAUUUCCUAGUAAGGUUUUAAUGAGGCAUAUUCUCAUCAAAUGGUCAUCCAAGGGGAGCAUAUUAUAAAUAUUGAUUAUGUAUGACCAUUAAUCAUAACAUGCAUACAUUAGAUGUAAAAACUCCAAUGAGUUGGAAAAGAAUAUUUUCAUGAGUUGACAUACUCUAUAAACAAGUGCACUCAAAUAUUUUUCAUGAGUUGACAUACUAUAUAAACAAGUGCGCUCAAACGAUUACUUGGUUGAUUUAAUCACCAAAGGCUCUACAUGUCUACAUGCAUCAACUUUGGAAAAGCUAGUCCAACAUUUAUAGUUCGGCGAAUGAAAGAUCUCAAUUGAUAUCAUGAUGAGGGGGAGUUAAUAUGCACUGCACUCUUUUUUCCUUAACCAUGGUUUUUCCCACUGGGUUUUCCUGGUAAGGUUUUUAAUGAAUAUUUGUAAAAGUGUGUAUUCGAUAAUNNNNNNNNNNNNNNNNNNNNNNNNNNNNNNNNNNNNNNNNNNNNNNNNNNNNNNNNNNNNNNNNNNNNNNNNNNNNNNNNNNNNNNNNNNNNNNNNNNNNNNNNNNNNNNNNNNNGUUGUUCGAAUUUUAGUCUAAGUGGUAAGGAAUAAUACAGAGUCUAUACAGACUAGCUAGCUACAUUAUUGUUCCACGUUAUAAAUUUAUUUUCCAUGAUUCUGCCAACCCGUUAAUUUCAAUGUCUUCCUAAUCCUACCUAGAGAAUAUUCAGUCCAACCAAUAAAACCAAACACAAUCUCCUAUCAACAAUUUCCCACCAUUAAGAUAAAUAUAAUAUAAUAUAAUUGAAUUUUCUCCUUCACUUGUAUUGUUGACUGCCAACAACAGAUUCAACGAAUGCAAGUAGUUAACGCAUUCGUUCAACUAAUCAAGCUUUGAAUUUUUUUUUAAAAAGAUUUAAUGACAUCACAAAACGAAAAAAAGAAAAAAGAAUAAACAUCAAUUUAUCCAUUUACAUUUUCCACCCAAAACCAAUCAAGUCAAAUACGUAACUGAGGCCUGCUCAUUUUUCCACGCUGGCCGACACCGUCUGCCACGUGUACACUUAAUUCCCGGCAAAACUCCUGCCUCGAGCCUGCAGUCUUGACCCGAAUAUUCCCCGUAUUGUUUCACGGAAAGUUCCUGCCCCCCCCCCAAUCUAAACCUAAUCCGCCACGUUUGCACAUGUAAC
rnacentral:lncRNA from 1 species